rnacentral:lncRNA from 1 species
AUCCAAGAGGCAAGCAAGAACACCGGCCCUCUGGUGUUCAUAAGACACACAAUCCUUGUUCCAUCAAUUUUCCGUUUCUCGUAAAAAAAGCCGAGAGCCGUACACAGAUUUCUCAUCACACAAAGCGCUACACCCGGUGGGAGCGCUCUCUGCUGAAAAAUAUUUACAGGGUACAGCGAUGGCACGAGGCGUACAGAAAACGAAACCAAAAGGCAAAUGCGAAAGGCGAGGGGCAUAAGAGCCCUCUGCUAGGAUCCAUCUAAAUUCCUACGCGCACACGGAGAGGCCACACACGGAGCUAGCACAUAGCCGGGGGCGACGCGACGGGGCGAAUCUCUCUCUUCUCUUCCCUCCACUCGUCCCUAAAUCCAGGCCGUCAGGGUGGGGGCCGGCGGCGACCACGACUCGUCGGCGGCGGUGGUGGCGGCCGGGAGGAGCCGGGAGCGGCAGAGCGGGCAGGUGGCGUGGUCGUAGUCCAGCCAGGUCUCGAGGCAGGCGCGGUGGAAGAGGUGGCCACAGGGCAGGCGGUUCACCACGGCGUCCGCCUCGAAGCGAACAAGGCAGACGCGGCAGUCGGGCGUCGGCGAGGCCGCCGCGCCCCGCCUCCGGCCGAACCGCGCGGGGCGGAACCUGCUCCUGAACCUCUCGGCCAGGCUGGGGCCCGCCGGGGUGGCGGCCGUGAGCUGGUCGGCGCCGUCGGCGUCCUCCCCGGCCAGCAGCGAGGGCGGCGCGGGCAGGCCGAGGAAGACGAGCGCGGCGCGGAGGAGGCCCGCCAGGGCGGCGAUCGAGACGACGGCGUGGUAGAGCAGGUAGAUCAGGAGGCUCUCCUUGGGCGCCGGCAUGCUGGAGAUGCCCAUCGCGGCGGCCUGGAGGAGGAAUGGGGAUCGAUCCGGGGACCCGUCUGCAAUUUGCGCCUUCUUUCGGGGUGGUCUGGGCGAGGGAGCGGUGCGGUGUGGGUGUGGUGGGAUGGAUACAGUGAGGGAGGGAGGGGGAGUCGGGGUGGGCGCAUUUAUAGCCGGCCCGGGGGCUGCUGGUGUCACCUCCCUAUCCAUCCCAUCUCGUUCGGGUGGUGCACCGCGACCCGUGUUCGGCAGCCCGCCGCCGUCGGAUCCGCGCGACGGACGCCCGAUCUCAUCCCAGAGGGGGAGGAGGGGGGGACACCCCACAUGCGGUGCGGUGCGGUUCGAUCGUGGGCGCCCAAUAAUUCCCCGCUCUGGUUCGGUUCGUGGCGCCCAAUAAUGCGUGCAUGGUUCCUGAGGCCAAUUAUUUGGGCCGGCCGAUCCAAGACCCGGUGGACCCAUUUGUAGUAGCACGUGCAGUGCACCGCACCGGCGACGAGACGGUACAACGUCGAGCGACCGAUCUCACUGUCACGGGACAGUGCGCCCUCCCGGAAGAAAAUCGUCGGGCGCGAUUGGCGAGGCCGAUUGGCUCCGACAGAUCCAUAUCAGAAAGGUGAGGGCGAAAGGGAAUUCAAUUCGGCCUACCGAACGUAAGCGGCUCAGCACGAUUCCUGCCAUUUAUCCGCUCCGAACCGUGACGUGCUUGACUCGGAAGACAUUAUCGCAGCCUCAUUUCAGUUGAAAAGACACGGGAUUUUUUUCCCCGAAUCUUUUGUUUUGGAAGCAGUACUAGUAUUUCCUUCCGAUUCUGCAGGAAUGGUUCGGAUCAGCUCGCCGAUCGGGUUGCCGUGCCUGCACGACUGCGGCCGGCCGGUCGAACCGACCCCGACCCGACGCCCGGCCGGUCACGGUCAGCCCGUGCACCGAGCGGGAAUCGAUCUCCUGGUACGUACGCCACUGCACUAGCACCACGUCCCCUCCCCGUCGACGCAGUUACGGGCGCGACCAGUCUUGGACGCGCGAGACAGGGACGCGAGAGACGGCGACCGGCGCGGCCACGGGCGCUGCGGCUCGGCCGUUCAGGCUCGGCGGACGGACGCGCGGCCGCCAGGUCCGGUGCCCCGCCCUCCAGGGUGCCUCCGGCGACCCGUGUACUGCCCGUGGGUGCCGGCCGGCCGCGAUGGACGCGGAGGUUCUUGGCUUGACCACUAGGCACACCAGUGGGCAGCGGCUGCUUUGCGUAAUUGCUUGCCAUGGGGAAAAGUCUCGGUGGAACGCACCUAAUCAUUUUUCGUUGGGGUGCCGCCGGUCCGUCGAUGAAAGUUGCCUGGCAAGCUACCGACUACAGUACUGUACUGGGAGUACUUGUUUGUGUUACGUGCCCGUCGACAGUAAUCCAUCCAUCGGACUAAUCAACGGAGCUCGGCGUUUCUCUCGCCAAAAUUAAAAACUGAAGACGGUCCGGUUGGGCUAGCUUGACUGCUACUAGUAGUAGUACGUAGUACGUGCAGCUCAAGUUUUUUCUUUUUUUCUUUUUGACGGGUACGUGCAGCUCAAGUUUUUUCUUUUUUUCUUUUUGACGGGUACGUGCAGCUCAAGUAUUUGUGUUGCGUCUGAACUUGACCACGAACGGCCUGUUGACCUGCGCGGCUAACUAGCUAAGCCGUUGGAGUUUUCAAAUGGCGCGUUGCUCUGUCGGUUCAUAUACAAAGGUUUCACCGAAAGUUUAAUGGGGAAUUCUGUUCACACGCGCACCGUCCUCGCCCAAACUGAGAUCGACCGAUAUCUUCAUUUACUACUCCACCGAUGGCGACACCCAAGCACAGCCAUUAGCGACAGGCACGCAUGUCAGAGAAAAUCGAAUUUUUCGGAUCCUUAGCGAGGUUUUCUAUUGCCGAAAACAAUUUAAAAAAUCUGCUCACAGGCGCACCGUCCAGAGACCACGGCACGGAAGCACAACCAAAACGUGUGGGGUGCAUGUUUACGUAGCGAAUUGACGACUACAAUGCAUGAUCAUGCCUCGUAACAGUAACAUUUCGCUCGACCGGCGACAGCGAAGGGCAGGAGGAUUCCUGUGGCCGGGGCGCGCCCCCUACGGCGAGAGCCGUGCCGCGUAGCAUCGCACUCGCGCUCGCACGGCACGGCUCGAUCCACGGCCUAAACAAUGCGGAUGCUUGCGUUAAGCGUCCGGUCUGGCAUCGUCCCUACUGCGCCGGCACAUGCAGCUGCAGUGGCCACCAAUGGACGGACGGACGGACACGCGUGGCCUCAGGAGGUGAUGUGGGCGCCGGUGAUCCACAUCUGGAAUCCGGUGGACGGCUCCGCCCUUUCCGCCAACCUGCCGGUGCGGUCGAUUACUCUAUUCAGGCCAGGAGUAAAAGAUUCCACGGUGGAUUUUUUAAGUAAAUUCCGUGGUGACGGUGCGCUUCAGAUAACUUGCGUGGCUUAGGCUUAGGCUUAGGCUAAGGCUUAGCCCGCGAUGGCGUGGAUCAGCGUGGCGGCUUAACCGCGGGGCCGGCCGGCGAGCAGGCGCGGGCGUGCGUCCACAGGAAGCAAGCGAGGAAGGAAGGAAGGAAGCAGAGGAAAGCGCGUGGGCGGGGUGCUGGGUAGUACCGACGAGGCGAGACCACCGGGGUCGCCGCUGACGUCCGUCGUUGCUUUCCGGCGCCGUCCGAGCGCUGCGGUGCGCCCAGCGCGGCACGCGGGGGCGCGUCCCCAUCCCGCGCGCCCGGGUCACGUGGCCCGCGCUCGGGGCGACAGCGAGGCGCGCGGAAAGCAACGUGGCGGUGUCUCGAACCGGCGAGGGGGAGGGAGGCGUGGCGGGGCCGUGCGCCCGCCCGUCCGAGCCGUCGACGGGGCGCCCUCGCCCUCGUCACGCGCCGCGAUCGCGAUCGCGCGCCCGGGUGGUGCGUGCGUGCGCGCGUGCGCGCGGCUUGACCGCUUGUCCUGUCACCCAUACGUGCUGCGUUGGACCGUGGUGACAAGUGUCUGCCACCAUGUUGACAACUAGUCCCGUCGGGAGUGAGACCCGUACGUGUGUCUGAGAGAUCGAGAAGCGUGAUCGGAUUUCUCUCUCUCUCGUUCGCCCCAUCGCCGGCGUGUGCUGCUUGGAAUUCCAAGCAUCUUUGUACGCUGCUGCUGCUGGUAUGUCUCUCGUCGUUGUGUCCUGUGUGUGCGUGUGUUUGGUGUCAUGUCAGGCGAGGAUCUUCGUCCGGCGACCCCUGGAACCGUCUAGAAGCAAGCACGUACGCCACAGGGUUACUGUAUUUGUUUUUCUGAUAAGACCCCACUCACAUUGGAUGCAUUUGAAAUUGACGCGCCGCUUUUACGGUACCAAAAUGACUCACAGGGCAGCAGUAACUAACUCCAUCAGGGAAAUGAUAAAGCACAACAACUAGAAAACAAACUCGGAUAUAUUGAAGCGGAUAACUAGCUUGAUUCAUAAGGACGCAAUCCAGACCAUGAACUUGCGAACCUAGAUAGAAUCACAAGACGAAACCACAAGGGUCCUUAUGGAUUAAGGGCAAGCCCUUCAAUCCACACACGGGUUAACACUCAAAGAACUAAUGCUCACAACACAACACCUACAACGCCAUGACCAUCUUAACUUUUUUGGCUUCUUCAUAUCUAGGAAUUGCUCGCCCUUGAUUGUUUUAUCCAUUAUAGGCUUCAAGACAUGGUUCACUCCAUGAUGCAUGAAAGAAUACUUGUUAGAACUCACAUGGUGAGUAGCAUUGUGAUCAAACUGGCACAACCUCUCAAAAGGAGAUGACAAGCUUGCAUCACCACCUUGUUCACAUGACUUCCCACUGAAAAUUGCACCCUAGCAUGAUGUGUAAUCUCCAGCUUACCAAAACCAUUCAACUACUUCACACAAUAGAGAAACACUAAGGAUCUGUGUAGAAAUGAUACACAUGUUGUCUUUGCUUUGAUCUUUUUGUAAUAUGGGCAUGUUUUUGAUUUUUUUUCUUGUUUUUUGAUAGAAUUAAUACUCCAUGUGUUUCUAAAUAUAAGUCCUUUUAGAGAUUUCCCUAAGGACUACAUAUACUAAAAUCUCUAAAAGGACUUAUAUUUAGGAACAGAGGGAAUACAAUUUAAUGGAGGACAUGCUGGAUUUUGUCUUACAAGGCACGACAUCCCCACUUUGUCCGAUCGGGCUCAAUGGAUUUAGUAAUUAUAGAAGAAAAAAACACUAAGGAUGAAUAAGAGAAAGUGGACAGAAAUGACUAGCGACGACGAUGAUAACCAAUAAAACUCCUUGAAAUCAAUGGAUUGGUUGCUUAACAACGGUGUUAGCCACGAGCACAACAAUCAAUAGGUGGUGCCAACAAGUUGGGUCGACGCCACCAAGGUGGUUAGAAUCAUGAUCCUACCUUCCAAUUGUACGAAUUUACACGAUGGCUGGACUAGUUACACAAUUCUAGCUAGUACAAUCUAUGAUUUCUAGACUUUGUUAGUUAUAUUCCUUCGAUUUGCAUUGUUAUCAUCCGCGUUGAUUAUGGAGGCCCCGUUCGCUUCAAAGGAUUAUAAACCAUAGGAAAGUAAAAAGGUGUAGGAACAGGGAUUCCUUGUAAGUGCUAUACGGAGGAAUUGAAACAGAGGAAAGAAACAAUCGCUGUGCGUUCGGAAUAUCGGAUGGGCCACUAGAGAUCGUACUAGUAUUAAUCACGCAGCAGCAGUAGCUAUGCGAUUUUUUUUAUUCGCAUAUGGUCAUUCUUCUCUCACACCUCAACCCUAUGGCAGUAUAUUUUACUCGGCUCGUCAGGAGGGCAGCCUCGGGCUUCCGCCCAAAAAUGUGGUCAGGGCAAAUGUGUUUAUUCCUAUGGAAUGAACACUGUUAUGAUCAUUUCCUCUAAUCUAACUGUAGCAGCUUCCUUUGAAAAGAACGCGGCAAAGGAAAAAGAAACGGUGGAACUCACAAUUCCUUCGGAAUGUGUAGAAAUCCUGUGAAGCAAACGGACCCGGAAUUGUGUUUUCCAACAAACUUGGGCACAGUUGGUAUUGAAUAUUGAUUGCAGACUUGUCGUGAUGGUAAUGGCCACAAAUGGAAAUUUCUAUGAACCAAUAGAGGAAGAGACGAAAUUCUGAUGACUAUGUCACUAGGUGGCGAUGGUGAAACAUCGGGGGAGAGGAGAGUAGAACUGUACGAGCAUGAUACUGGGAUGCACCUGACAAAGUGAUGAAACUUUUUUUAACAUUUGUAUUACUCUCGUAGCAAAACUACCAUAAUUCUAAUAAAGUCUGAUGGCGUCUUCAGGGCCAGAUCCGAGCCACACAACAGUGCACCCAGAGGUUCUACCAUAAUUUGCCAUAAAAUGGCUUACAUCAUUCUGAGUGCGAAGAAUAUGAGUAAUACAAGAUUUUCAUUGUUCCAUAUAAGCAAACUAAUCUCACAAACAAUAAAGUAUUAACGAGAUCUGGCCAAAUUCCUUUUCUUCAGCAUAUUCACAACUUGUAGGCAAUAAUGUUCCAAUGGCCAUUGGGAGCUGACUCCAUUGAAGAUCAAGCGUCGAACCUUCCAUAAUCACUAGAAAUUCAGCCUCGAGGGGGUCACUGCAAUUCAGCAAUUACAUGCAUGCAGGGAAAACUAUGGAGCCCGGCUGACCUUAGAGGACCAUGCCGCUCCCCGCAGCGACAAUAUCUUCAGCAGAUGACCCAUUCAGUGUUGAAACUUGAUCGUAUAGUCGUCCGAAAAUUGCCGCGAGUUAGUCCCAAAUGAAAAUCAGUCAACAUCAUCAUUAGUACCCCCUUUGUAAAUUAAUAUAAGAUCUUUUAGAUCACUACUUUAGUUUACCGAGGGGGUAUCAGUGUACCAUUUAAGCUGCACCAACCCAAAUAAUGCCGAACCAUUUGCUUAAAAAGUACAUAUUCAACAUCAAAUAUUGCAAGUGUACAUGUUGCCCCCACGACGGAUAUGAGUAAUACAAGGUUUUCAUUGUUCCAUGAGCAAACUAAUAUCACGAACAAUAACGCAGUAACGAGAUCUGUCCAAGUUUCUUCUCUUCUGCAUAUUCACAGCUUGAAGGCAAUAUGUUUCAAUGGCCAUUGGGAGCUGACUCCAUUGAAGAUCAAGCAUCAACCUUCCUUAAUCACUAGAAGUUGAGCCUCGAGGGGGUCACUGCAAUUCAGCAAGUAGCCCGACUGACCUCGGAGGACCAUGCCGCUCACAGCAGCGCCAAUAUCUUCAGCAAAUAACCCAUUCAGGGUUGAAACUUGAUCAUAUGGUUGUGCGGAAAUAGCCACGAGUUAGUCCCAAAUGAAAAUUAGUCAUUGAUAUUAUUACUCGCUUUGAUUAACGUCAUCAUUAGUAGGAGUACCAUUUAAGCUACACCAACCCGAAUAAUGCCGAACCAUUUGCUAGAAAAUAGAUAUUCAGCAUCAAAUACUGCAAGUGUGCAUGUUGCCCCCACGACGUAUAUGCUUAUUGAAAGUUUCGAAAGAUUUUUCAGAUCUCCUGAUGAAUAGAUUAUCGCUCGCACAGAGUGUGGACGCUUGUACUUUUGUAGGGAGCCAUGCUAUUGUACGAGUACGGUAUACUGUCCACCGUUUGAAUACUCGGGCCUUCGCUGCUUGCUGGGCCUAUGCCCUUGAUAUUUUUCUGUUUUUGGAUUCUACGGGCGGUUGAAGAAGCCGUCACGCAAUCAGAGAGAGAUAACGGUAACGCUGGACUCCUGGAGACUUGGUGGAGUGCGAUGCUUGGGUCCACGAAGGCUAGUUACUGCCAGAGAGGAGGCCGAUAAGUAGUAGCACUCUCCGAGGAUAACGGUGGGCUUAAGCCUGUGGCCGCGGGCGGCUUCUUCUUCGUCUUCUUCGCCUGGGGAAGAUAGAUCCCGCCGGGAGUUGGAGAGAAGAUUCCGCUGUAAGUUUUCUUCAGAUUCCUGCAAUCUUUUGCCUAGUGUCGGAUUCGGCCGCCAUGUCAGCUAGGUAGUUUUCAAGUCGAGGAUCGAUGAACUGGAAUCUGGAAUGAACUUGGUCUAGAACCUUGUAGAACGUGUGAGUGAUGGGUUCGUAUCCAUACGCACGCGUGUUAGUGGCUUUGUUGGAUGCGCCCUGAAGGCGUGCUGCUGUUCCAGUUCAUGGUCCUUUGUUGCUGCUGCAGCUACUAGAAAAAGUUAGCCAUGCACUCGUUUCAUUUGCAGCCUUGCAGUGCAGGGCUAUUCUGACCAAUUCAAGUUGAAAAUCAGAGCUAGUAGAUGCUAGACUAGUGACUGAUAAUAGCAGAGUGCCUUCUUUUCCGAGGGCACGACCAAAGCAAAGCCGGUUCUCUUGGAAGGAAUUUUGUUCUAGAAGCACAUAUUAUGUUGAACACAAACAAAUACACUGAAAACUUAGUCAGCAUAACCAAAUACUUCUACUACUUGUUUGGCAGAAUAUGAAUACUCCCUCCGUGCGAGAAUAAACGACUCAACUUUAUAUUAACUUUGGGUCAGAUAAGCCGUUCCCAUAGAAAAAUGGCUGUUUCUGUCAAAAGUUCCAAAUGAUCGCAUGAUCCUAGAACUGAAUCGAUCUUGAUAGAUUAUAGAUAUACUAGCACCUCCAUUUCUGAAAGCAACGCACCAUAUGUAUGUUCCUAAGCUUCCAAUUUUAUGGCAUAUUACAGGACUUGUCAGGCACAACUUUCUUAGGGGAAAAGGUGCUUGGAAAUGGCCAGUGACAUAAACGACGCAGAGCACGAGCAGGCAACCGAAAAUCAGUUGGCAAGCAUCAGCCGCCUCACACCAGACGUCCUGCACGAGAUACUUCUCCGGCUUCCGGUGAGCACUCUGCAGAGGCUCCGCGGGACGUGCCACCAAUGGCGCGGCGUGAUCAGCGACCCCUGCUUCAUCAUGGACCAUGCCAACCGUGCACCGGAGCACCUCCUCCUCUUCCUGCCCAGGCUGGAGGCCUCGGCGAGCCUCAAGACCGCCAUGCCUGGCCGCAUGAAGCUCUUCGAUGAGAAAUGGUCCGUGUCAACGUGGGCGGCGGCGUCCAUGGACCCGGACGACCACCUCUUCGCGUCCUGCAAUGGCCUGCUCUGCUUCUACAGGAAGUACACGCUGAAGAUCGUCAACCCCGCGACCGGCCAGCGGCUGCACCUCUCGAAGCCCGACGGGAGAUCGCUCCGCGACCUGUACUAUCUCUACAGCUUCGGGUUCCACCCGGCGACGGGGGAGUACAAGCUCGUCUACUUCCUCCGCGAGCCCCGGCACGGCCGGCCGUCGGGACAGCCGUUCCGCUUCGACGCCGUCCAGGUGCACACCCUCGGCGGGGACGGGUGGCGGGACGUCAGGGCGCCGAGGGAGAGCUGCCUGGUGAACCUCGGCGUCGUCAACGUGGACGGCGCCAUGUACUGGCUCGCGGAGGAGGAAGGGGCGUGCUGCGGCGUGGCGGUCAUGGCGUUUGAUCUGAAGGAAGAGACCUUUGUGACGUUGAGGCCUCCGCCGCUGAGAGCGUGCGGCGGGGCGACGGACGAGCGGCCCUGCGGCGCUCCCGCGCUGUCCUACUACGUGACGGAGGUGGGGAAGAAGACGUGCCUGGUGACCGCCCCUUUCAGCAGCAGCGCCCCCCGGUGGCGCCGCUACAACGCCGAGGUCUCCGGGAGGAUGGACGUCUGGACGCUGGAGAGCCGGGGCGAGGACCGGUGGUCGCUCAAGUACAGCGUCGACCUGUCGCCGUCGGCGCCGCGGUGCGUCCCGCAGCCGUGCUUCGUCCGCGGGGGGAAGGUCCUGCUGCACGGCCGCGACGGCGACGCGUUCUGCCGGGACCUGCGGGGCGACGAGGACGACGGCGGGGAGGUGAGGCUGCUGAACUUCCGGCCUUACAGGUACUACGAGACGCAGGCGUACCUGUACAGGGCGACGCUCGUCCCGUUGGACGUGUACGCGGGGGCGGCCAUUGCUCGCGCGCCGCACUGGCCUCUCCCGCAACCAGGUUCCUGAAUUUCUGAUUACGACUCUGCGUUGGCCUUCUGUGGUCAUGGUCCGGUAUAGGUGUAGGUAACAGAGAUGUAUUUUGUACAAACUUUCGAACAUGUUUACUUGUGAAACAUGAAUGAAUUAUGGUGUAAUUCUCGGCGGAGAUUUAAGCUACUGGUUAUUGUAACAUAUUGUAUGCUAAUAAGGAUUUUGUGCCCCCGCGAAAAAAUAAGUAUUUUGUGCAGUAAGCUUUUCUGUUUUUUUUUUUGAGGGGAUAAGCUUUUCUGUUCACUCGUGUAGAAUAGCGCAAAUUCUACCCAUGAUAUAUCAAAAUGGAAAACGGCAAAGCUUUCGUCCAGAAAACAGGGCAGCCUCGAAUUUUUAGAUCCACCAAAGUUCCUUUUUUUCUGUGAAAAAAAAAGGUUCUGAACACAGAAUUUUACCCGAGUCCAGUGGAGAAUGGACAGUGUUGGGCUAAUUGGGCCGAACCUGGCCUGCGCAGCAUAAAACACUCGUUCCUCUUCCGCCACGCUAAAAAAAAUAGAACUUGUUCCUCUUGGGCGAAGCCCCGGAGCCGGCACAAAGGGGUCGAAGAGCCAGCCGACGAGGGGGAAGCGGCGGGAAAUCAUUUCGCCGUCAAGCGGAGAGCUCUCCCAUCCCAAUCCCAUGGCGGCGACCGCGGAGCUCGUCUGAUCCUAAUCGUGCUUGUGAGUCCUCGAUACCUUCUUUUGCUUGCGGAAUGCAUUCUCCCCCGAUUUCCUUCUUGUCCGCGCUCCUCCAUCUGUAACGGCGGCUAGGGUUUGUAGUUACUUGCCGUGGUUGAGGUGCUGACUACUUGCUGUAAUGGCGCCCGAGGGCGUCUAGGGUUUGUAGUUACUUGCUGUAGUUGAGGGAUUGAGGCACCGAGGGACGGCGCGCACGAGUGUUCGCUGGAUUUGACAGUAAUCUGCACUUUUGGUGCAUGAGAGAUUUUUUUUUUGACCGUGGGUUCACUUUGGGUAACUAGAGAUUGUUACUUUUUUUAGCCUGGAGUGGUCAAAAUUUCGGAGCAGAAAUUUGGAGAUGCUAUCAGUAUCUUCCUGCACAUUGGUUGGUAAAUUACCUUGAAAGCGAGAUAAAAAAAAUUAAAAAUGCAUAAAUGUUACCUUCUUUCUUUGCCCAUGAAAUUACUUAAAUGUCAGUUUCUAUGUAGCUAUCAUUAAUUGAAAUGUGUGUUCGCAGAAGGGUUUGGUAUUUCAGCUACUUCGGCAUUGGAUGCUCACUAUGGUCACUGAAGAAACCAAAUCAAUGAAGCAAAUAAAUGAGGAAUGCAUCAUAAACCACCUCCCAGGGGACCUCAUUGAGCGGGUCUUUUUGAGGCUUCCAGUGAGCACUCUGUUGACGUGCGUCGGAGUCUGCAAGCAUUGGCACAACAUCAUCCGGGAUCCACAGUUUGUUGCAUUGCACCUCCAGUGUGCGCCAAGUUAUGCCCUUGUGUUCUUCCCGCCAGGUUUGGUUUCAGGGAAGCACUACCCUAGCGAUGCUGUCCUAAUUGAUGAAGCCUGGUCGCCAUCGACAUAUACAGUGCCAGUGAUUGGGCCUGGUGAUUUCCUUUUUGGUUCAUGCAAUGGCCUUCUUGGCUUAUACACAAAGACAUCAAUGAUCAAGAUAGCUAACCUUGCAACUGGUGAAUGUCUACAUCUUGGGAAACCUGUGAAGAAUCUGAAAGGUGAUCAUUUCUGUUUCUAUAGCUUUGGAUUUCAUCCCGUGACAAAAGAAUACAAGAUUACACACUUCCUUGGUGAUUGCAUUAAUGGUCGUCCCCAUAAUAAAGACAAGUUCAACAUCAUUCAAGUUUACACGCUUGGUGAUGAGAAAUGGAAAGAUAUCCAAACUCCAGAAGCUCUUAGCUUGAUCAGUGUGAGAAACUCUGGAGUUGUCAAUGUUGAUGGAAAAAUGUAUUGGUUAACUGAAGACAUGUCAGCUAGCUGGCAGCAUGCAGUUAUGUCCUUUGAUAUCAGGGAAGAAAGUUUUGCAAUGAUACAACUGCCAGCAGCACGCGAAGAUCAUGAUUACUAUGGUUCUCGUAAGUUCUUGAUCAGAGAUAUAGAUGGGAAAAUAUGUAUAGUGACUGCUCAAACUAGUCGUUAUGAUGCCAGAACUCUUGUCGGUGAGCUGCAGAUCUGGGCACUUGACAACAUGGUAGAGCAAAGGUGGAGCCAGAAGUACAACAUUAAGUACCCACCAGAUUACAUUCUGGGUCCACGUUUUGUUCACAGGGAUAGAAUCCUCACACAACGUGGCCACAAUAAUGUAUGUUCGUACGAGUUGCUUGGUGAGAACUUCGAGAUUGAUUCAAGUAAGAUGGUGAAGCUGUUAGAUUUUAGUCCCUGCAGGCACAACUUGCAAUCUCACAACUGUGUGAAGUCACUUGUACGUUUAGAUGUAUACAAGAAUGCUAAGAUUGUGUGUAGGCCAAAACAGCGGGAAGGCUGGGAAUUGAACAAGUGGGAGGCGUGGGAGCGUGGGCUCUCUGAGAAUGAAAAAUUGCGGAGUGUCAUUCACCAAGUUGAGCUUAAUGGAAUUGUAUGUCGACUGCAUUCAAAUUGAGUUUAGCAGACAUUCAUUAUUCUGGAAAUUUUAACAAUAGCUGAGUUGCAGAAAUUUAACGGAAAUUCAUUAUUUGACAGGCAUGUGCACAACAAAAUGGCAUAUGGUUCAAUGAUAUACUGCAACAUAUAUUGGAUGAUGCGAUUCGACGGGAAAUAGGCAUGAAAAUCGAUCAAAUAUUUCCAAACUUUCCAGACCAGGUAAUUCUUUACCUAAAUGGACGUCAGCAUACCUUUAUUUUUCACAUUUAAAUUUGAAUAGGCAUUAAUCAUUUGAAAAGCAGAGGCAUAUGAAUGUUUGAGUGCACCCUUAUCGUUGUUGUAACACAUGCCUUGCAUGAGACUCCAGCAGACAAGACCCCUCCGGCAUCUUAAUUGUGUGGCACAGAAGCUGGAUCAGGACAAUUUAAUUGCUCGUAUUAAUAAUAGUGAGACUAUUAUAAAGGUAUAGUGUUUUAAAUUUACAAGCCAGAUCAUUGACGACUUUUCGUUGAAACAUGUCAAAUGAAUAAAGUUAAACUUGUCUACAGGCUAUGAUUCAGACAACAAAUAGUAUCUUUGACAUGAUUGAUAGUGCUGUAGAUGACCAGGUAAAAGUUUACAUUUGAUCUAAUUUUUUCAUGUUUUCCCUUUCUGCUAUAGCUCGCUAGUUCUCGUCUCCAAUAUCUGUUUUAAUCUCUUCCGGAAUAAAAGAAAUAGUUUCUUAUGAAAUAUAAGCAAAGUAAUUGGAUUAUCUCAUGUCAUACAAAUGAAUGACCCCCUUGUAAUAAUGCAAUUAUUUUCCAUCCCAUAUUUUAAUUUAUGCAUACACCUGUACUUUAGUUCUUUUUGCUAAGUGUGCAAGUUGUCUAGUUGUCGUGUUCAUUGAUUUGUUAGGUAGGUAGCCCGUACCCCACAAUCAACAAAUUUUGCAUCAGUAAGAAAUAUUUUUUUCAUCAAGGUUUGUGUAAGUGCCCUAAAUUUGGGAACUGGGUUGGUUGCAAAACACUUUACGUGUUGAUUCCUUUCUUAACUUGUAUUUUCAGACUUACAGACAUAGAUAUAGGCUCUGCCAAGUUUUAUCGUCUUUUAAUGGCAUGGUAUUGCUUUCAGUCCCAUUCUUAUACAUUUGCUGGCAGACUUAGUGAAUAAUGGUUAAUUGAGCAUAGCUGUGCAGCUGUGUUUGGAACUAAAAGUUACUUUGGUUGCUGUCAAGUAAUGUAAGAGGUACUUAAAGUUGUUCUACAUCGUACAGCUUUAUAUAGCAGACAAAUUAACAUAUAAGACUUGAGGAACAUUCAGAGUAGGAAGCAUGGAUUGAUUGGUAAAUGUUAAAUUUUCCAUUUCCCGUUUUCUCGUUUGAGCUUCAAGUUCAAAAUCUGGCGACAUGAUUAUUAUGCUGUCUGUGCACCUUUUCUUUUUAAAGGAACUGAAAACAUUUUGUUAUCUUUUCCUGUAAUGGGAAUUCUAGACUUUUCCCUGAUGUGUGAUGAAAGUACCAUUGUCUUGUGUUUGAACCUUACUCAUGUUUCAGAUUGGUGCUUCGAGUACAAAUGCUGGCAUUUCUUCUCAGAAUCACAGCGAGGGCGAUGACGCGAAGACUUGAUACUUGAGAGCUUAUCGUCAUUCUUCUCAGCCUACUAAGGCUGUUAUUCAACUCUUGCUUCUUUUUACCGUCGAGGGACUUGUUAGCUCUUUCUCCUGUAGAGCAGUUAUUUCUGCAGUACCACCGUUAUGUUUUCUCCAUUUCAAUUUGUUGCACUUGGACCUGAUUAAAAAUAUUGGUCUGUUUGAGACACUGAAGAAUUUGCUUACUGAAAGACCUUUGAUCAGAAGAUCCAAACCAGGUUCCUGACACGCCCUAUAUUCUGAAUCUCUGUUACAAUUCUGCGUUUGCCUUUUGGGGUCAUGGUCCAGUAGAGUAGCAAGGUAUCUUACGUAUCUUUAGAACAUGAUCAUGCCGGAAAUAUGAAUUGUGGUGUGAUUCCGGUCAGAGUUGUAAGCAAGUGGCUAAAUAUGUAAAUUUUCAUUACUGUUUUGCGCAGUUAGCGUUGUUUGUUAAUUUGUGAACUGCAACGCCUCCAAUUUGCACGCCCUGAACACAGCGACCAUGAUCUUGAUCCCGAAACACGAGGGCGCAACGCAGCUCACUGACUUGAGGCCUGUUAGCCUGAUCCACAGCGUCGCCAAAUGACGUUGUGCUCUUCAUCAGCCCAUCCCGGACUGAGAUGCAUGCCGAUGCCGUUGUCACUCUUGUGGAGUUGUUCCACUCCAUCUCGGGGCUGCGGACCAACUGGAGCAAGAAGAGUGCAGCAACUCCGAUCAAAUGCUGCCACGACCACGAGACGGCCCUGUUGGCUGCCGUUGUCUGAUGCAAGGCUAAGAAGAGAAGAUCUACAACCAAUCCUUGACGCACUGGCCAAGAGACUCCCUGGCUGGACAUGUAAGCUCAUUGCACUACCAGCAAGAAUCCCAUUUGCUCUCUCUGCCACCCACACCGACCCCGAGACGGCGUUACAUCUCAUCGCUGGCUACCCCUUCUCCCGGCAAGUUUGGGCACAAACGGCCUUCUACUUGGGGAGGCCUUUCUCUGACCUGGACAUGUCCAUGGCAGGCAGCCUACGCUCUCGGCUCCGACGGCCGAUCUCCAGAGCCACCGGGAAGGCUGCCUGCCCCUGCCUGCUUGUUUCUUGGUGCCUUUGGAAGGAAAGAAACGACAGGAUCUUCAACGCUAAAUUCAGCUCUGUUGCACACGUUCAUCAUUGACGAUAGGCAGUCUGAUGGAUGUAGACCUGGCCAUGGGCAGCCCGGCCCGAAAAUCCUGGGCCGGGCUGAGCCCGUGUGUGCCAUCGGGCCUGGCUCGGGCCUGAGAAAUGAGCCUGACAGGUAAAUCAGGCCGGGCUCAGGCCUGCAAAAAAUGUGAUUUUAGCCGUUGCCGGGCCGGGCUCAGGCCUGCAAAAAACGUGAUUUUAGCCAUAGCCGGGCCGGGCCGACUGGGCUUGGGCCGGAAUUAGUAGGCCCAAUUACUGGGCCGAGCCGGGCUUUUUAGCAUCAGGCUUUUUUAGGCCUGGCCCGAAGACCGGCCCGGCCCGAGAUAUGCCCAGGUAUAGAUGGAUGUGCUGCACUUUAUUCUAUGAAUGGAUGGUGCUAGGCCGGUGUUUGUAGGCAGGGUCUCCGGCGCCCUGCUCUGUCUCCUUUUCUCGUUUUUUUGCACCUGUACUGUACUUUGUACUCUCCUUCAUCAAUGAAAAUCAGCACCCUGCUGCUUUUUCGUCAAAAAAAAUUCUACCCCUGAGAUCAAUGAAAAAUGACAAGCUUUGCCAUUUCCUCCAGAAAAUAAUGAAUCGGGGAAUUGUUUCUUCUUUUAAAGGUACAAAAUUAAGAUUUAACUGAAGUUCUAUAAAUAUUUUUGAACAAUGCUGUACUCGAGUGUAAUGGAGAAUGGCAGUAGCGUUUUGCUAAUUAGGCCGAAGACACAGCAGUCGAUACCGAAUCUUUCUGAGAGCCAUUUUUGUCGGGUUCGAUCCUACGUGGCACGCGCGAGCGAGCGCCCUUGAUGCAUACAUUAAUGUUUGGGAAACGUUUGCUGCCGGUGCGCCGGUCGAAGCGUUGCGCCGGACGCGCGCGCUUCGUUGGAUCGAAGGCAAUCCUACAGCCCUUGUGUGUUGUCUUCCACUCGUCUCUUUUCUUCAGAUCCCGUCGCGAUGCAAACUGCAUCUCCCGCUCACGACCAUAACCCAUCCCCUCCAUCCCGCGAGCGGAAGUUGUUGUGAGAGCAUCGGUCUCCGGCCACCGCCCUGCACCACCGGGCGUGAAACCGAGGCCGUCAUCUAUUUGUCCUACUCCAGCGAACUGGCGGCCACCCCCACACUUCCUCCUCGGCUUUUUCCCCUCUCCAGCCAUGGGACAAGAGCAGUGGCGGAGCUUGGCCCAGAAAAAUGGGCGGGCCGGCUGUAGAAAAGAACUAUUAGGAUAGUGUUUCAUGGCCCAAAAGUAAGUAUAGACUACAGAAAAAUCGCAUGGGCUGGGCGGGCCACGGCCCAUUCGCCUUGCUGUAGCUCCGCCACUGGACAAGAGAUGGGUGGCCCUCUAUGUUGCAACCAGGCGGCCGAGGUGUCGCCGUAGACGAAAGCCAACCAAUGUUUGCGGACCGUAGGGGACGCAUGCUGGGACCAGCCCCACAGAUGCUACAACCAAUUUAUUUUUUGCUCGAACCACCAUGAGAGAUGCUGGGAAGCUGCUACUGCGUGCAAUCGAGCUGCAACCAGCAGCUCAAAAAGCUACAUCCGGCGACUUUGUUUGCUGGAACCAGAGAAAGCGGCGGGGUUGUGUCAGGCGACGACGUACGACCGACGUACUGCGGAGCUGCAACCUGCAACAACAUUUGUUACAACCGUUGACCAUUUUUGCUGGAACCAAAGAAAGUGACGGGGUUGCGUCAGGCAACGGCGGAGCUGCUACAUGCGGCGAAAUGCUACGACCACCGUGAUGCGGAGCUGCAAUCGGCAACACCAUUUGUUACAAACAUAGUCCAUUUUUGCUGGAACCAGAGAAGAUCGAGGCUACUAAUGGUGCACGGCGAGCUUCAACCAGCGACAUGAGAUGCUACAACCAGCACAAUUUUUUGCUGGAACCACAUAUUGUGAUUUUUGCGAGUUACUUCGUCGUCUCCAUCGUUCCAUCCAUGCUGGGGCGGCACCGGUAGGGGCACAAUGUUCCAACCACUUACUUGUUUUGCUGGAACCAGCGAGGGACGAGGAAGCGUCGUACUAUUGCCGGCGAGCAGAGCUGCCGCGGCCAACGACGGCAACCCAUGACCACAAAGGGCGAGGGAGAAGUGUAGGGGAGGUGCUGCCGGCGUGCAGCAGAGCGGGUAAAAAAGGCGACCGGUGACGGCGGCGCGUGUCGACGGCGAGGCAAGCCGGCGGGGGCGGAGGCAACGGCUGUCUGGGAACGGGGUGGAGCUGCGUGGCGAGGUGAGGAAGACAACACAGAGGAGAGACACACGAGGGGGGAAGGGAUGAAGCAGCUUUUUGGAUAAGGAACUGAUGGCCUAGAUGAAUUGGAUCGGAUGGCUAGGGCGCGACCGGCCCAAAUUUGGGCCGGCGCACCGGCGCCUAGCGCUGGCCUUAAUGUUUUGGAUAAGGAUUUUGUGCCCCCGCAAAAAAAUAAGUAUUUUGUACAAUAAGCUUUUCUGUUCACUCGUGUAGUGAAUUGCACAAAUUCUACCCAUGAUAUAUCAAUGGAAAAUGGCAAAGUUUUCGUCCAGAAAACAUGACAGCCUCGAAUUUUUAGAUCCACCAAAGUUUUUUUUUUUUGAAAAAAAAGUUAUGAGUCCAGUGGAGAAUGGACAGUGUUGGGCUAAUUGGGCCGAACCUGGCCUGCGCAGCAUAAAACACUCGUUCCUCUCUUCGGCCACGCUAGAAAAAAUAUAACUUGUUCCUCUUGGGCGAUACCCCGGAGCCGCCGGAAGGGGUCGAGGAGCCGACGAGGGGGGAGCGGCGGGAAAUCAUUUCACCGUCAAGCGGAGAGCCCUCCCAUCCCAAUCCCAUGGCGGCGACCGCGGAGCUCGUCUGAUCUGAAAUUCUGAAUCGUGGUCGUGAGCCCUCGAUGCCCCCUUUUGCUCGCGGAAUGCAUUCUCCCCCGAUUUCCUUCUUGUCCGCGCUCCUCCAUCUGUAACGGCGGCUAGGGUUUGUAGUUACUUGCCGUGGUCGAGGUGCUGACUACUUGCUGUAAUGGCGUCUAGGGUUUGUAGUUACUGGCUGUAGUUGAGGGAUUGAGGCGCUGGUGGGACGGCGCGCACGAGUGUUCGACAGUAAUCUGCACUUUUGGUACAUGAGAGAAAAUAUAUUUUGUUGACCGUGGGUUCACUUUGGGUAACUGGAGAUUGUUGACCUUUUCUUAGCCUGGCGAAGCGAGUAUUUUUAGUGAAAAUUUCGGAGCAGAGAUUUUGAGAUGCUAUCAGUAUCUUCCUUGGCACAUUGGUUGGUGAAUAACCUUGAAAGCGAGAUAUGAAUGCAUAAAUUUCACAUUCUUUCUUCGCCCAUAAAAUUAUUUCAAAGUCAGAUCUAUCUAGCUAUCAUUAAUUGAAAAUGUGUGUUUGGCUGUUUGCAGAAGGGUCUGGUAGUUCAGCUGCUUCAGCAUUGGCUACUCACUAUGGUUACUGAAGAAACCAAAUCAAAGAAGCAAAUAAAUGAGGAAUGCAUCAUAAACCGCCUCCCGGUAGACAUCAUUGAGCGGAUAUUUUUGGGGCUUCCAGUGAGCACUCUGUUGACGUGCGUCGGAGUCUGCAAGCACUGGCACAACAUCAUCCGGGAUCCACAGUUUGUUGCAUUGCACCUCCAGUGUGCGCCAAAUUAUGCCCUUCUGUUCUUCCCGCGAGGUUUGGUUUCAGGCGAGCCCUACCCUAGUGAUGCUGUCCUAAUUGAUGAAGCCUGGGCGCCAUCGAGAUAUGCAGUGCCAGUGAUUGGGCCUGAUGAUUUCCUUUUCGGUUCAUGCAAUGGCCUUCUUGGCUUAUACACAAAGACAUCAAUGAUUAAGAUAGCUAACCUUGCAACUGGUGAAUGUCUACAUCUUCAGAAACCUGCGAAGAAUGUGAAAGGUGAUCUGUUUCUACAGCUUUGGAUUUCAUCCCGUGACAAAAGAAUACAAGAUUACACACUUCCUCGGUGAUUGCGUUAAUGGUCGCCCCCACAAUAAAGACAGGUUCAACAUCAUCCAAGUUUACACACUCGGCGAUGAGAAAUGGAAAGAUAUCCAAACUCCAAAAGCUCUUAGCUUGAUCAGUGUGAGAAACUCUGGAGUUGUCAAUGUUGAUGGCAAAAUGUAUUGGUUAACUGAAGACAUGUCAGCUAACUGGCAGCAUUCAGUUUUGUCCUUUGAUCUAUUGGAAGAAAGUUUUGCAAUGAUACAACUGCCAGCAGCACGCGAAGAUCAUGAUUACUAUGGUUCUCGUAAGUUCUUGAUCAGAGAUAUAGAUGGGAAAAUAUGUAUAGUGACUGCUCAAACUAGUCGUUAUGAUGCCAGAACUCUUGUCGGUGAGCUGCAGAUCUGGGCACUUGACAACAUGGUAGAGCAAAGGUGGAGAAGUACAACAUUAAGUACCCACCAGAUUACAUUCUGGGUCCACGUUUUGUUCACAGGGAUAGAAUCCUCACACAACGUGGCCACAAUAAUGUAUGUUCGUACGGGUUGCUUGGUGAGAACUUCGAGAUUGAUUCAAGUAAGAUGGUGAAGCUGUUAGAUUUCAGUCCCUGCAGGCACAACUUGCAAUCUCACAACUGUGUGAAGUCACUUGUACGUUUAGAAGUAUUCAGUAAGGUUGGCAUCGUGCGCAGACCAAAGCAGCGGGAUGGGUGGGAACUGAAAAAAUGGGAAGCUUGGGAGCAGAAUCUUGCCAAGAAGGAAACAAUGUGGUCCAGACUUUAUGAAGACUAGUAAGAUGCCCGUGCGUUGCACGGAAUAACUAUGCAUGUGUUCAGAUUGACGUAUGUCGGGUCAUCCCAUGUAUGUUAUCAAUAUGCUUUUCCAAAUAUUCAAUUAUGUUCCCGAGCUUACAUACAUCCAAAUGAAUAGUAAAUGCAAACAAUAUAGAAUUUUUCAGUAUUACACACACCAUACGGGCUGGGCAUUAGCCACCCAAACCCAAUACACACACGCACAUACACACACCAUACGGGCUGAGCAUUAGCCACCCAAACCCAACACGCGUAAACAACUACUCCCUACAUCAUCCUUGGUAACAUGAACAAGAGCAUCGUCAACCAGUAACCUGACAAACUGCAGUUAACUCUCAUACAGAAAAAAAAAGAUAUUGUACACAGAAUCCCAAAAUAGACCAACACAGGAGAGCACAAAAAGGACGACGACGACUACAUCGCUAGUCUCAUGACCAUGGGGUUCCAGCCAUGUCGACGCCCAUACACUUCCUGCACCACCAUCACCAGCUUGCUGGAUCUAUGUCACAACAGUCCUCAAAGAGCUCCUUUCUGCAAGGUUGCUCAAGAUGUUAGGAACUGACAAACACACAAAACUACAUUGUUUGGAUCCCCAGGACCUUCUUUUAGUCGUUUGCUCAAAACCAUCUAUGCUAACAAUGUUGGCCCUCGAGCUCUGGCUUCAUCCAUCUUCUCACCUAAAAGGAAAUCAGGUAAUCAGUACUGCAUAUAUAUAAUGGUCUGUAGUAUAUUUUGAGAAACGAAAAAACAAGGAGCUUGUAGAGGGUAUGUACUCUGUAGUAUAUUUAGGCAAAGGAAAAAACAUUGAACAACACUUGUACAUUUUGUACAGAAGCAAAGAAACAAAUUGUUAAGUAAAAGAUGCUUUUGAAUCAUAUGUAUUUAGAAGGGGUGAGUGCACAUGCAUGUAGAUACAAAAAUAUUAGUAUUGGACUACUUGUAACUUUCUUACAUCAACCAGGUUUCUGCGAAGAAAAACAAAAUGCCAAUAACAGACAGAAAGGAAACAAAUAUUCAGGGUGUGCCCUGAAAAUUGGAUGUGGAGCUACCAACCAAAUGAAAUGCGUUGAUGACAAAGCAACCUGCUGUCGGCAUUGUUUGAAGGCGUCGUAUCAUGUGCAUCCGGGGUGGGUCGUGCAUCCCUGUAUCCCGUGGCUACUGGCCAGCCGAUAAAGAUCGUACACAUGGGAUCAAAAGCAACACGGAUUUACAAAAAGACGCCCGCAGCCGCUGUUGCUAAUUUGCUAAUGACCCCCUUAACCAAGCAGACCUUUGUCAAAAUAUCAGUUUCUCAAUCUGGAUCCUCUCCGAUCGCUCCAUGGCGGCGGCCAUGACGAAUCCUUCGACGGCGGCCGCGCUCAGCUAGCCGACCUCCGCGUUCUCCUGCCUCAAACGGCUCCACGGCCCGGUGAUCUUUUCAACGGUGGCCGCGCUUGACCAGCCUCCGUGGUCGACCGCCUCAGACGGCUCCAUGGCUCCUUUCGACGGCUGCGGCGAGAUGGACAUCCACCACGUUUGUCCUACCUCCGCGCCUGCCUACCUUCUUGCCGGUUCCCGACGCCGAGUCCGCCGCCGGCCACAACCUGCACACCAUCUACUGCUCCCUCGCAUCCACGGUUGCUCCUUGGCCUGAUGACGUCCGCCUGCUACAAAAGACUGUCGUGGGCAGCGAGCACAACCCAGAAACCCCUGCAGAUUGUAGCUUGUGACCUUAUCCAUUGCAAUUGUUCUUUAUUCAGUGUGUGUGUUGUUUCAGAGUAUAGACUGUAAACUGUACUUGCACAUCGUUGGUGAGUAUUGAUCAGAACUCAGAAUGUGAAUGUAUCUUAGUACUUACAGAUUGUAAGCUUGUGAGUUCAGACAAGUGAAUGUGUAGCUUGUUGUAAAUGAAAAAUUCAGAAAUAAACAAAAUUAUUAUUGCCUAGUUCCUGGUAGUUUGAGGUGUUGUGUUGUACAUGAUGUAAUACAGCUUAACCAGUGCAUAAUAUCAGCUGUUGCUUCUGCAUUCUUUGUGAGUUGUGACUCUGCAUUCCUACUUUUCAUUCACAUAUUUACAAACAAGAACAUGUUGUUGUUGCCGCGAGCUUCCAAACCUGGAAUCUUAGAAACAAGAAGUGAAUGUAAAGGUGUUGGUGACUGCAAAAUUCUGAACAGAAUCAUUGUUUAAUUUCUUUUGGUGAAUGCUAUUGUCGAGGUUGAUGUGGGUUUGGAAACUGAGCUGUUCCAUGCGUGACAAAGUUUCUUGUGCUUGUAUUACUCCUGUGUGAUAGUUGUUUAUCAUUUAUAUGAGAAAAACAGAGCAUGCUUCAGGUUUAUGUGAACAUAAUGUAACAUGGUGCUAUUGCUGCUUGCUACACUCCAUUCAAUACACACAAGUCAGGGAAAAUAAGAGGAAGACAGUUCGACAAAACACAAAAUUCCACCUAUUACAAUCUCGGACUCUUUGCUUUUAACUUUUUGCUAGGACAAUUGCGACUAUCAUGAAAUACUAUUUGUUUGCACUUCUUGUGCAUGCGUGCCACCUUUACCUUGGCUUCCUUCUUCUUUUUCUGUUCCUCCCCAUUUGUUUCCUUUCCUGUCUUUAUUUUUUUCAAUCUCUCCACUGUACGAACAUCAAUUGGUGGGUGUAUGUCAAUUUCUGUUGGAAUGUUGCACAAUAAAAGCCUCGUACUCUGCUUGUCUAGUGUGCUUCACAAAUGAAGUCGGAACCAUUUCAUCCAAAGGCGCAUCUAGGCGUAAAAGAUGGGCACUGGAAAAUAAAUAAUGAAUCAUAAUAAUCAUCAGCAGGCAUAACUCUCUGAACUGAAAAGCAACAUGGUUAAAAAAAAUCUAUUAAACUAAUGAAGAUAGAAAUAUUGGCUUUCAUUUUUGGUGUAGCAAAUUCUCCCUCAUUCAUUUGAGUUAGCAAGCUUUUGCCAGAUACUCUAGCUGCACAUUCAUCUACAUGAUUAGUCGUCGAUACAACAAGUACGCAUGUACAACAUACACAAAUAUUAGUUUUUUGAUGUGUUACCUGAAGCUCCAUGCACAGUACUGCAGUUCAGUUCGUAUUCUGCAACAGUAGCAUUUUUAGGCAAGUCAGAUGUGCGUCCUGAUGGCUAGAUGGGGAGGCAUACUCUGGGUCACCAGUUGAAUUAUGGAGAAACAGGGCCACGCAAGAUCCAUCCAUCACUGUUGAUGCAUGUUCAACAUCCAUAACAACAGAUUCUAAAAAAACACCCAUAAUAACAGGAGAAGCCGUGAUGAUCGGCUGCAGCGUAUCACGCGUCGAGGAUGUGUCCACCAUGCUCAGGGGAGUUCAGGGAUACAUUCUGUUGGGGCGGUCCGUUGUGGAGAUCAUCUCGGCAGAUGAAUUCCGUCGUGGCAAGUGUCCUUGUAGAUGCAUGCCAUCGCGGGCGUGGUUGUCGUUGCGAUGCAUGUUGCGGUCUUGAUUAGGGCUUGAAGGGAGACGGGGAGAAGGGGAUUAGGAGAGCUGACUCCCCCAAGGGGUUAUUAGCAAAUUAGCACACAUAACCUAGAGCUGGUGCGGGCGUGUUUUUGCAGUUUUCUAUUGCUUUUGAUCCGGUGCGUGAGAUGGUGAUCGGCCGGCUGAGGAGGCGAUGGAUACAGGGAUGCACGACCCACCCCGGAUGCACUUGAUACGCCGCCUUGUUUGAAUUAUUAUUAUUUUUAACAAAGGGAGUAACAAAGGAAACUACUAAAAACAAUUCAAACACACAUAUAAUUGUUGUUACAAAAAAAUCAUGAACACUAAAGCAAGUAUCUAAGUUGUCUUUCCGUAAAUCCUCCACAUGACCCUAGUUAGAUAGAUAUAAUUUUUACGGCAACCAAAUUGUACUUGAGUGAUUUAUACCUUGGACUACAUGCUGAGAACUUCUUUGUAGACUAUGUUCUUUGUAAUAUUUGCAGUGGAGUUGGACUGGCCUUCCUUUUUUUAUCCGGUACAGUAAGAAUCUUCAUAUUACUUCUAGAUGUAGCUCUAGAAAGAGCAACAUAGAGCUGCCCGUGUGAAAAUACUGGUUCAGGGAGGUAUACACCAACAUUUGGUAUAGUUUGUCCUUGUGCCUUGUUAAUGGUCAUAGCAAAGCUAAGUCUAACUGGAAACUGCUUCCUCUUGAACCUAAAUGGAAACAUCUCAUCGUCUGAUGGGCAAAGAGGAAUUCGAGGAAGGAACACCCUCUUACCAGCAUGCUGGCCCAACACAAUCUCAGCAUCUAUUGCAUUCCUCAUGAAUCCUCGGACAAUCAACCUCGUCCCAUUGCACAAACCACUCGCUGGGUCAAUGUUGCGUAACAAUAUAAUAGGGCAAUUAAUUUUCAGCUUUAGGAUAUGGGGAGGUAGCCCAUUAGGUGUUAAUGAAUUCAAGAAUUCUGCAGGGUAGUAGUUGUGUGGAUCAUCCUCCGCGUGAUCAAAACUGUAGUAUAUCAUUUCCUCCCCAGGAAACCUCUCAAUCAUUUUCAUGUUAAUCUUGUCAACGUACUCAUUCCGAGUUGACAAAAUUGCUCGGGACGUUAUGUAAUUUGGAUCCAAGAGGUUUUCUUCUAGGGUCAUCUGGAAAACACUUUCAAUAAGCUUAUCAAUAUCAGUGGCGUCGCUGGUGUAUGGUACACAAAUCUCAUCUGGAAGCCGUAUGUAAUCAUCAUCCACGGUAUCUUCAGUGCCAUUCCCAACAAGAAGAAGGUAAUCAGCAAACCAUGGAUCGCUCUGAGCCCUCAUAUUACGGACAAGUCUUAGUUGUCUCAUAUUCUCUCAAAGGUAAGACUUACGCAGCGUCGCGUCAGUUAUUUGGGACCUUGUUCCCUUACGAACAACAGGAAGCACUUGUUUGAAGUCUCCCCCAAACACAAUUGUCUUUCCACCAAACGGCAGGUCAGGUCGAGCCAUGAUGUCCCUCAUGCUAUUGUCAAGGGCCUCGACCGCCUGCCGCUUUGUCAUGGAGGCCUCGUCCCAAAUUAUGAGGGACGCCCUCAUAAGAAGCUUAGUUGUCCCACUUUGCUUGGUCAAACUGCAGACCCCACCGUCUUCGGUGUUCAAUGGUAUUUUAAACCUUGAGUGUGCAGUCCUCCCUCCAGGCAAGAUGGAUGCAGCAACGCCUGAUGUCGCUGUUGCAACAGCUAUUUUACCCUCGGCACGUACUUUUGCAAGUAGUGCUUUGUACAGAUAAGUCUUUCCCGUGCCUCCGGGUCCAUCAACAAAGAACACACCUCCUUGGCCACUAUUGAUGGUCGCAAGUAUCUCAUCAUAUGCAUAUCUCUGUUUUGGGUUUAGGAAAGAUGACAAGCCAAGGUGUUCUGGGUCCACCUCUAUCGUGGACUCCUCUAUGAUCUCCCUAGCCUCAUUAUCUGAGGCAUCAUAUGACUUGUCAAUUUCUGGGAGAGGGAAUGAUGAUAUGUCCUUACCCAUCGAUUCAAGCAUAUUCUUUAUAUCUAAUAACGCCAUCUGCUCAACUGCAUGGGGGCACAUUUGUGUUAGUCGAUAGUCUUCUGUCAUAGCUUCCAUGUGUCUGUCCCAUAGGCCACACACAUUGCUGGGUUCACAAAAGACCAAUAUAGUGGCAAAUAGCCUCCGAAGGGAAGAUAGCAUAUGAAAAACCUUAGCCUCAUCAAGACACUCGUUGAUAGUAUUAUCUGACUCGAUAAGACCCCUCCUUUCAGCAGCUUCACGGAAUGUCGAGUAAAUAAUACCAUUCACUGUUCUAAGGCCUUGGAAGGAUGUAGCACCUGUGACAUGGUUUAGAAGCACUCUAAGAUAAUACCUCUCCCCUUCAGCUGGAUGUGCAAACACAAUUCUCCCAAUCUGUGUGCGUUCAUCCCUCCUUUUCCAAUACUUUCCACCUGACAUCCAAACAAAAUAAGAUGGGAAAUCCUUAUAUAAAAUUCCUCGAGCCAACUCAUAUUUCUUGUUUGCCUCAAAAUACCCAGUCAGCAUGGUCUUGGAAGCUCCUUCUUGAGAGAGGACAUCAUUCAGAUUUGCACCCGCUGGAAACGACACCAUGUGCAUAUUAGGGAGGUGGAGUUGGAGUUGUCUAACAGAUGGAAAUAUCAAGGUCAAAACCAUAUAUCCUCCAUAAUGCUUCUGGUGGAGUAACCCACCUGGAAUCUCGGUAUUGCUUUAUCUCAUCAAUGUUCCUAUCACUAUCCACCUCAUCGAUAGAAACAGAUGCUCGAUCAUGCCCCUUAUAUAUGUAUUUAAAGAGGUACUUUACAGCUUUUAUGCUUGAGCAAACCUCGACAUUGAUGUGGCAAUUAUACCUUCUUAGUAGGUAAGGAUUAUAUGGAACAACCCACCUAUUGUCUAACUCUUGGCCACGUACCUUUGCACGGCGUCCAUCAUCUCUCCUCCUAUAUAUGGGAUAUGAGUCCUUUCCCUGAAGGGUUGACACAUUAAAUGGUCGUGGAUAAUAGUUCUUGCAGCUACCUUUCUGCAUGCACACGUUCUUGGGGUUUAGGACUCCACACGGACCAUGCAUCAUGUGCUUCACGACCAUUUUGUACAACUCGGGAUACUUGGAUUUGUCUGGCAAUUCAGAAGAUAUGAGACAGUCAUAUUGCUCUGGGCAUGUUAGCUUGUACCUCCCCUCCAUGAUUAGGAGGAAAUGAGCAUGUCGUAGACCUCUUUUCUGGAACUCAACUACAUACACAUAUGCUGCUACCUUACCAAGAAUGUGCCUUUUAAAAAGUUGUAUCUUGAGGUCUUCCAACUUUGCUCGAAAUACUCGUACAAUAAGAUCAGGACGAUCCUGUGGGGUUUGUCCAGGCUCUAGCUCACUAAUUAUUUCAUCCCAAUUAGGGUUGCAAGUCAUGGUUAAAAAAAUAUCUGGCUUCCCAUACUUUUGCACCAAGGCCAUGGCAUCAAGGUAUCUUCGUCUCCUAUCUCUUCUUCCCCCAAUAAAUGAUGAAGGAACUAUAGUCCGUUUACCCACUUCAUCCGCACGGUUUUCCCCAGCUUGAAGGCUAUCGACAACACCUUGGUAUAGAUCAGCACAUAUUUGUUUCUGGUGUUUUUUUGUUAUAACAUCCCAAAAUUCUAAAUUUUGGAAUGUUAUAAUAAAUAGAUUGAUUGAUUGAUUGUUUGAUUGUUGUGUGAUUGAUUGAGUGAAAUUCGAAACUUUUUGAAAGUUAAAUGAGAGGGAAUAAAAGGACUUUCCCAAACUUUCACCCUUUUGCAUUUUGAUCUUCGUGAAUUCAAAUUCUUUUCAAAUACAAAACCCUAGAGAGAAGAUGACAUGACUUCUUCCAUUUAAAUAAAUGAAAAGGGUGUUUGAAAAAUAUUUGAAUUUCAUUGGGAAAUAUUUUCCAAUUCAGAAACUUUAUGCAACUCAAUGAUUUUCAUGAGAGAAGAUAAAAUGACUUCUUCAAAUUAUAUGAAAUAUGAGUUGGGAGUUUCAAAGAAUUAAAAUUCAAAGUUUUUUUGAAUUUAUUUUCAAUUUAGAGUUAUUUGAGUUUUUAUUCAAAUUAUUUUUCUCCAAAAAUAAAAUAUAUGGAAAUUAGGGUAACAUGAUUCCCUACAAUAGAAAAUUGGAGAAAAAUUAAUUUGAAAUCAUUUUGGUAUUUUUAAAAUGAUUUUUGUUGGAUUUUAAUAGACUAGUAGCACUCUUUGAUUUAUAUGAAUUUGUGUGGAUUUUAUUUGAAGUUAUAAAAAUGUUCAUGUCGUAGAAAAUCUUUUUCUGAAAAUUUUGAUAUAUUAUAUGCCUAUAUAAUAUUUUUAUUUUGUUUUGUUCUUUUUAUUUUUGUUUGUUUGAGAAUAUGUUAAAAAAAAACUUCUUCUCUCCUCCGCCGCCGAACUGGGCCGGCCCAAUAGGCCACGGCCCAGCCCAGCCAGCGCGCCGCGGCCUUCCUCCUCGCGUGCCUCAGCAGGACUCACCGGAGUCCGGCUUCCCCACGCCGCGGGACGCCCCCUCACCCAAGGAAGGCCUCGGCCUCGUGCCUUUAAAAGGCGGGCCCCCGACGCCCCUUCCUCUCUCUCCUCUCCCCGCAUCCGCCGCCUCUGCCACUGUUUGCUGCUCGUCACCGCCGCCGCAGCGCCUCGCCGCGCCGCCGCCCGCUGCUGCUACACCGUGCGCCGCUCCCCGCUGCCGCACCGCGCAUUGCUGCUGCUCGCGCCGCUCGCCUUGCCCGCACGCCGCCGUGGCCGCUCGUCGUCGCCUCGCCGGAAACCGCCGCCGUCGCUGUUGCCGUCCGAUCCGGUUUUAUUUUAAGUUCGGUGUUUUAAAAAAAAACCCUAGACUAAAUCUGUUUUUUUAGGUUUUAUUAAACAGCGAACGUCCACGGUUUAGACCUUAUAAGCGAAUGUUCGCCUUUUAGUCUUUUUCUUUUUCUGUAAUUUUGGCCAGGGACCUAGAUGUGAAUACUUUAUUUACAGUUUAGUCCCUGAACUUCAAACGAUCAUUACUUUUUACUCGUUAGUCCAAAUCCAACGAAACCAACGCCCACGUCUUCGUUACGAUCUCCUCUAUCCAGUAAAACAACUUAAACAUGUUUUUGAAAAGUUUAAAAUUUGAAUUAGAACUGAUUUGUAUUCAAACUUCUUUUGAUCAUAUCUUUUUAUCCGUAACUCCGUUUGAGUUGAUUCUUUUUGCAAAUUAAAGCUCUUGACCUAAACUUUCUAAUAAGGCCAAAUUCACAUAAUUUUGGUACUGUUAGAAAUUGUUUUAUGUUGCAAGAGCUAUUUGCUUGGUUUUGAUAUUUUCCGAAUCGACUUCUUCGUUCUUUCCAAUCUUUUGAGUGAUUGCUUAUGUGUGGUUACUAUUGUUUGCUUACAAUAGAUUGACCGGAGUGUGACGAGUAGAGCUAUCAAGAGUUUUGAGUGCGAAUCAUCUUCAUCAACAUUGCAGGCAAGUUCACACUUUGAUCAUAUCCCCUUUCAUACCCAGUUUUUAUGCAUUAGUUCCAAUCCUCAAACAUUGCGUGAUUAGGAUGUCAUUAACAUGUGGGUAUUGGGAAGUAAAUGAUCAGGUAGAACCUAUUGCCAUUUUAUUAUCAAACCCCUGGGAGUUACUUCUACAUUAUGCUUAUAUCACUAUGCUAUGCACGUAGACGUGGAUUGGUUUGAGAGAAUUCAUGAAAGAUGUGAGAGAUUAUUGUUAACUAAGGUUUAACUUAAGGUGGCUACUAUAAUACACAUCUGGGUGGAUUGGUUGGGGCACCCUGGGGAUAUACCAGUGGACUUGCCCGGACACCUGGGGAUAUACCAGUGUUGUCCUAGGAGAUCCUGGGGUUACCGUGUGAUCAUCCUAUGGUUCGCCACCCAGGCUCAAAGGGAUCAUAAGAUUAUUCAUGCUAGAAACUUCCGUGUGCAGCCACAAGCUAUUAUGGGCUCUAGCAUAGUUGACUAAGUCGUGCAAACUCUUACAGUGGUAGACUAGCAGAUGUAGGGGAUGUAGGUGGUACGGUCUACCCGAUCGUAAGGUGCUAGCGCUUCUGAAAGACUAUGUCUCGGUCAUCCGUCUUCUCAAACACCAUGUAGUGCGAGAAACCAAACGGAGGCGAUCGAGUCUUGUGGGGAAAAGUGCGCAAACCUCUGCAGAAUGUAUAUAAACUAAUCAUGAUUAGCCGUGUCCCCGAUUAUGGACAUCUUGAGUAUCUAGUACCUGGAUUAUCAUGUGAAUCUCAUCAUGUUACCUUAAAUUAAGUUUGUUGGGUUUAAUGAGGAUAUUUAAUUGGGAUUGAGAAUGCUGUCAACCAUUCUCAAUGUUCUACAACCACCAUGAUAGUUAAAUAAAAAUUUAUUCCUUUGCAGUAGGGAAAAAUUGGCUUUUCGCAAAAACCUUAUAACCAUAGAGCUUUUCCACCAACCUUAAAUGCAUGUAGUGAUAGCCUUUAUUCAUCAUUAUCCUCUGGUGUGAAUUUGCAAGUACAUUCAAUGUAUUGACCCUUUGUGGCUGCAACGUCUCAUGUUGCAGGAGUAUUUUACGACGAGUAAGUGAUACGUUAGGGUUACGAUUUCUACACUCGACUUUGCCGUUGGUGUUGAUGGGAAUCCACAACCUUGUUACUUCCGCUAUUUUGGAUUGAGGUAAUAGUAUUUUACGUUACCUAUACAUGUGAUUUACCUCUGUUAUAAAUCCUCGAGUACUGUGUGUGUCAGCAUACCGAUCCAGGGAUGACACGUAAGCACAGAGACUUGAUACAUUCGGGUCGGGUCGCUACAUUUUAUAUAGUCCAAUCUUGAGCUUUCAACCUUGAUGUACAUAUCAACCACAUAUUGUUGGAAUAGUCGUUUACCGUAUAGCAUUGUGUUAAAUACACCACGACGCAUUUGAAACUUGUAGCAAUAGUAGUCUCUAACGGAGACGCAUAAUCGACUAUUUGUAUAUGAACCUAUAAAUGAGAGAUAACAAAAGGACAAUAUUGGGAAUCAGGAAAAGUAAGUACAAUGAGGAUAAACAACAUUAACACAUGUUAUUUUCGUUAUAUGAAUUACCUAGACUCUGUCGACCACUGCGACGGGACUGAAGCAUCUCAUUCAAGCUGACACCAUUCUUUGGGAUUUCAGGAUGCCAACCAAUCUCCCCUCUUGGGAAGAAUAAAGGGUAAGACAACGGAUCAUAACAUCCAUAAUAUGGUUGGAUGCUAUAUCUCUUGUUGUCGUUGCCGAACAAUACUAUGCUACGCUCAAAGUACUUACAGAGUUCACUACCCUCAACCCAAAUAGCUGCAACCUCCGAUGAUAUAGGCACAUUAUACCUCCGUUGGUACAACCUCAUGUCGGUGUUCAGUUCAAUACGGUAUUCCUCAAGGUCAUCGACUCCACCUAGAUUCCUGAACGUUUCAGAAUAAGGAUUAUCCUUCAGGAUGUCAACAAGCCUUCGAAUGACAUCUCGGUCUAGGUUCGGGGAGCGCCGAAACCUAUGUUGUAAACCGGGAUCGUCAUCAUAGAAGUAGAGUUCCAAAUGCUUUGGCCCAUCUUGAGUUGGACCAAAUGAGAAGAUGUUGUGGUAAAUCUGACCGUGAGCUCGAAACGUAUAGACUCCUGACUUCAUGUUUGUGUAUCUGUUGUCCAGACUGACUCCAAGGGUAGUGAAUGAAAAGUGUCCAUUGAAGUAUCAAAUGUUAUCCCUAAAAUGCACGGCAUUGGGAUCUGAACUUGUGUAUAGCAUUUUAAGUUCCAAGGGUGGUUCUAAGUGUGCCAACUUAACUUUUCCAGACUGGCAACAAAAUCCAUUUGUCUCAUACUGGAACCUCUUUGCACCAUAAUGCUUGCAAUCAGGUUUAGGUGCCAGCGUGUGAGUACUUACAGGUAUAUUCUCGUAGACACGAUCAUAUGGAUCAGGAACCGCUGUAAAUGCAUCCAUCAUGUCAUCACAGUCUUCAUCAUCGCCUACAUAUACAUGAGAUGAAUAGUGUUAUAUAGGUCUUGCAGUUUUUGUGCAAUACAUGUAGGGAAGUAAGGCAUCCAUGACAAUGGAAGUACUCAUCAUCUUCUUCUUCAAACUCAUUAUCGUCCGCAACAAAGCUUUCUGUUGGGGAACCUAGACAUAUGAAGCCAUUGGGAGCCAAUAAUGAAUUGUCCAUUCUAAGUUAUAAGGAUGGUUCUGAAUGUGUGUUAUAAUAUAAUCAGUAAUGAAAAGAAGGCAUCCACACCAUAAGCAUACCUGUGUUAGUGAAAACUCUGUGAUCCUCUUCCACCGCUUCAGGUAUGCUUUCAAGAUUACCUGUUAUUUCAAUGAUAGUGUAAAAUACCGGCUAAACCUUUGAAAAAAUUAUAAUAUAAUCAGUAAUGAAAAGAAGGCAUCCACACCAUAAGCAUACCUGUGUUAGUGAAAACUAUGUGAUCCUCUUCCACCGCUUCAGGUAUGCUUUCAAGAUUACCUGUUAUUUCAAUGAUAGUGUAAAAUACCGGCUCAACCUUUGAAAAAAUUGGUGAGAUAAACGAAUGUGUAUGUGAGAAUUACCUUGAACCGUAGCAGAAGUUUGCGCCAGCGUACUUGGGCAGCUAAAGACAUAAGAGCUUGAUGAUAGAUGUCCCACCAACGAACCUUUAGGGUACUGCAUUGCGACAGAAUCCUUAUAGAGGGUAUCUCGUUUAGCUGCGUAGCUUGCUUUACGCUGAGCUAGGAGUGCUUGCCGCUCUUCGGGUGGUAGGCUUUUCCUACGUGCUCGCUGGCGUGCAUUUCUUUCUUGCCUCUCAUCUAGCGUCAAACUUUGCCUACGUGCUCGCUGGCUUGCAUUCCUCUCAUCAAGUGUUAUGCGUUGUCUUUUCUUUCUUCUCUGUGCAUUAAUCCUUUCCUUCUCAUUUGGUGUUAAAUUUUGCCGACGUGCUCUCACACGUUCUCGCCUUGCUUGGAUUUGUUCAAGGGUACGGCUAGCAUAUCUUAGUGCUUCGCGUGCACGCUUUUACCCUAUAGUAUUUUACGAUGAAUUAAUUAAGUGGGUAAACAAAAUUACAUAAGCACACACUUUCGCCUUAUAGACUUACCUUUGGAACUUUCUCCUCGCUCCAAGUACUCAAUUGAUGUCAGCAUACCAUUAUUAGUAGGAAAAAUCACAGCUGAUUGGUUUGUCACUUCAUCAUCCGAAGAAGACGAGUAACUCAAAUGCGUCACACAUGUCGGCUCGCGUAUAAAUAGACCCGUCUGAGUCGGUGGCAUGCCAUUGGGCCCAGUUCUGUGGGACUUAUUAUUGUCAUCGACCACUGUGUUAUUUAAAGUUGAACCAAUAGUCAGAUUAUACAAAUAUAUGCAAAAAGAUUGUUCCGCCAAGCGAUAAGGGACAAGAUAGCAACCUUUUUGUUUUCCUUUAUUGCUUUGUUGGCACGAGGAUUGUAACAUUUGGGCGCAAGACCUGAUUAUUUCUCCCCAAAUCAGAAGAGUAUGAGGUUAGCCAAAUGAAUUAAAAGCUCAAAACACAAAAGCCAAUAGGAAUGUUAUAUGUAAUCUAACAAGAAUACUAUUCUUUGCCAAAAGACAACAUGAUAUUUUAUUUUAAGCCAACGACAUGUAUGAUAAAUUUAGAGCAAUUUAUAUUUAGAUCUGAAAUUGCACAUAUGAUAAAUUUCAUCAUCAUCAAGUAACAAUAUGAAUAAAACAAAUGAUAUGCACAUAUAUGGUAGCCAAAAACUACAAAUCAGAACAUAGUAGUAUACAGAAGUGAUCAAGUAUGAAUUUUUCACAACAUUUCCAUAGAACCUAUCACAAUAGUUUCCAAGCAUGUCUAAUAAUAGGCUUCACAACUUCCAGUCAACAGUGGGAGUAUGAAGCAUGAUGCACUCACACAUACUGAAUAUUCAGCCUAACUCACCCAGUAUGUCCUGACCUUGUGAUUAUUCAGUUUCACACCUAAAUCCAAGGGUUUCUCCUGGAGACUUCUAAUUUCUGAGCUUGAUGAGUAUCUUUUGGACCUGCCAUGUGGAUCGUCAUUUUAACAAUCAGUGAUUCGGUGAGAAAAAAAAUUCCAAUUGUAGUUGGAGCUGCCACUGAGUAUUUAUGUGCAUAUUUAGUACCAAUGCAUAUUUACUAUUUGGUUAACUUAAGCAACUAUACUUCAAGAUUUCAAUUGUAAGCAAUAUCGCAAUACAAGUAUAAUGUGGUACUACAAAAGUAUAACAUCAAUUGACAAGGAUGUGGCUAUCCUGGUCCAGGAAUCUAUGCCAAUAGAUGAAUAAAAAAUCAAACUGCUAUUAUAUUCGCUAAUUAUCAGUGCUAGCAUUUAUUGUGUAAAAAUCAUAUUAGAAUAGAAGUGGGCUAGCAUAGCAAUCUAAGCAUAGUAAACCAUUCCUCUAGUACUGGUGCUUGAUCUCCUAAUCAGAUCAGUCAUUUCUGUCAUUGCACAUCUACAAUUGCACAAGUAAGAAGAUCCACCCAUACCUUGGUCCUUCACGAAGUAGAACAGAAGACGAAGUCCUCACAAUCCGUUCAAUCUGAAGAAUGUCGUGACCAGCGUUUGGCUUCUUUGGGUGCAGCAGCGAGAGUCCCAUUUGCUUUAUAUUGGUCUUCAAUAGUAGUUUCUAGACAGCUCCACAUUGGCGCGCGGAUUUGAACUCAGAGUGCUAGAAAAUUUGAUAUAUAUAUAUAUAUAUAUAUAUAUAUAUAUAUAUAUAUAUAUAUAUAUAUAUAUAUAUAUAUAUAUAUAUAUAUAUAUGGGCCUGCAAGGAUGGUUUCUAGACAGUUCCGCCUGGGCGCGCGGGUUUGGCAGAAAAUUUGAAUUUGGGAGGCGGCAUGGGUGGACAGGGUGACAGUAGCCAAGAAUAGCGCGCCGGUGGGGAAGGGCAAGGAGUAGUAUGUGGCGGCGCCGCCGCCGCUGUGAAUGAGCAGCUCGUAGCCGGCGGCGUACNNNNNNNNNNNNNNNNNNNNNNNNNNNNNNNNNNNNNNNNNNNNNNNNNNNNNNNNNNNNNNNNNNNNNNNNNNNNNNNNNNNNNNNNNNNNNNNNNNNNNNNNNNNNNNNNNNNNNNNNNNNNNNNNNNNNNNNNNNNNNNNNNNNNNNNNNNNNNNNNNNNNNNNNNNNNNNNNNNNNNNNNNNNNNNNNNNNNNNNNNNNNNNNNNNNNNNNNNNNNNNNNNNNNNNNNNNNNNNNNNNNNNNNNNNNNNNNNNNNNNNNNNNNNNNNNNNNNNNNNNNNNNNNNNNNNNNNNNNNNNNNNNNNNNNNNNNNNNNNNNNNNNNNNNNNNNNNNNNNNNNNNNNNNNNNNNNNNNNNNNNNNNNNNNNNNNNNNNNNNNNNNNNNNNNNNNNNNNNNNNNNNNNNNNNNNNNNNNNNNNNNNNNNNNNNNNNNNNNNNNNNNNNNNNNNNNNNNNNNNNNNNNNNNNNNNNNNNNNNNNNNNNNNNNNNNNNNNNNNNNNNNNNNNNNNNNNNNNNNNNNNNNNNNNNNNNNNNNNNNNNNNNNNAGGAGACGGCAAGGAGGAUGGGGUCGUCGCGGCGGUGAGAGGUGGGGCUGGUAGAAGGCAUAAGGCGGGGAGAGGGGGUGGGGAGGGGGGCAGGGGUUGAACGGCACCGGCAGCUGCCACAUCGCCGGAUCGAUUCCAGCGCUGCCGGCGGCGGUUCGUACGGUGCCUCCCGUUCUGGAGAGGAGAUGGAUAAGGUCGAUAGUUGUUUUUUUUUACCUGGUGGGGGUGGGGCAGAGACUCGAACAGGAAAGAUGGACUGAGGGGGCUUAUCUGCAAAUGUGUGAUGCAGCGGGUGUUUUUUUGCAAAAUGUACCACAGAUUGGUUACAGUGCGUUGGAUGCAGAUCCGAUGGUUGAAAUUAAAGCAAGGCAGGCACACCAUCAUCACCAACUCGUAUUUUUAUAGGAGUAGAGAUGAGCAUAAGGAAACUGUAUGUUGGCUGAAAUCUAAUUUACGUCAAAGAUGUAACAAAUUGUUGAAUUACCAUUUUGUAGGCAUCCACACAAUCUUUGCACGCUCGACUUAAUCAUCUACUGCCUCAAAUCUUGGAUGAUGUGAUGCGACAAAAGAUAUGCAUGAAAAACAAUCAAAUAUGUGCACACUUUGCAGAUCAGGUAAUUCCUUAUCGAGAUGGAAGUUACCAUACCUUUUAUUUUCAUAUUUUUAGUUUGAAUAGAUAAUCGUCUGAAGAGCAAAGACAUUGUGUGCACCCUUAUAUUUGUAACAAUUGUCUUGCAUGAGACUCCAGCUACCAAGGUCCCUCCGGGGGCUUAACUGGGUGGAGCAAAAGCGGGAUGAGGAAACAUUAUUUGCUUGUAUGGAAAAGUUUAUGGAUAUUACCAUGGUAUAGUUACCUGCAUUCACUAGCCAGAUCACUUAGAAGUAGAACUGUUCCUUGAAACAGACUUGGCUCAUAAAGUUGACUUGACUACAGGCUACUACUCAGGCGAUUGAAAGCAUCAAUGAUAUGAUCGGAAGAGUUACACAGGAUCUUGAUGUAAUGUUUUUUCCCUUUCCGCUCUAGCUUGCUAGUUUUGGUUACCUGUAUCAAUUCUAGUUUCCUCUACCAUAUUUAAAUAAGCAAAUUAGCAUAUCUUGAAAUGUAAGGGUACUGAUUGUAUUAACUCCAUAUAUGAAUGAUUUCCACUAUGCUACAAUUAUGUGCAUUUACAUAUUUGAAUCUAUGCAUAUCUGUGUACCUAUUUUUUUUGCUAACAGUGGUGUUUUAUUUGAUUAGUUGCCUAGUUACUGGGUUAACAGUGCUUUCUUUUCUAAUGGGUAUUCUAGGUUUUCCCUGACAAGUACUGUAUUUGACUUGCUUAUGUUUCAGAAGCGUACUUCAACUUCGAAAGCUGGCAGUGCUUCACAGAAUCACAGUGACGACGGUGAUACGGACUUGGGACUUUAGAGCUUAUCGUGACAUUCUUCUUGGCUUGCUCAGGCUGAGCCUGUUGUUCGACUCUUGCGUCUUCUUUUAGUCUCGAAUGAUUGGCUAGCGUUUCCGGUAAACCGGCGGUUUGUACAUCAGCACCUAUCUGGUGUUAUGUUUGAGCAUCCGAACCAACUAUUGCCGCUAUGAAUAUCUAUUUAAGUUUUAGAGAACAUUUUGCGGUGCAAAUCCUUGUGUGUAGAUUAUAUAUAAGCUUGUCCAUGGUAGGAAGCACACAUUUCAAGCAGCUUCUGGUUACAAAAAAGAGCAAGUUCAGAGCUUCUUAAUCCUGAACUGACAAACUGUCACUUGGCAUUCAGGUACCAAAUUUCAACAGCAACAGCAACAAAAAUGCUUCCUUGCUCCCUCGUUAUCUUAAUGCAUGCACAAAGUUGGAUGUGUAGGCGGGGCGGCCGCGCUGGCCCCUCGCUCCAUCAGGUUGCAGCAGCAGGAUCCUGCGCUGGCGUCCUUGUGUUCUGAAUCUGCGAUUACAGUUCUGCAAUUGCCUUGGUCAUGGGUCCAGUCUCCAGUGGGUAGGUAACAAGAAAUCAUAUGUAUCUUCAGAACAUGGCCAUGCCUGAAACAUGGAUUAUCGUGUAAUUCUUGGUGGAAUCUUAAGCAACCGGGCACUGUAACAUAUUCAAAACUAUUUUGCGAAGAAUGCCUUGUUCGUUCAGUCAUGGAGUGGAUUUUGUAGGUUUUACCCCUGGCAUCAAUCAAUAAAGAAAAUGGCAAGCUCUGCGGCCUUGUCUUCUCGUCCAGAAAGUUAAACAUAGUCGAGUGGAUAAUUUUCCUUCUUUAAGAUGUACAAAGUCUUGUGUGUAAUCAAGGUGCCGAAGAAAAGUUAUGCACAGCAAAAAAACAAAAGGGGGACAUUUCGGAGUACAUGCUCUACCACCACGCGUUGCCUUGAGCCCUUGACAUACGGAAGUGCAUAGGCUAAGAGAUCUACAGCCGGACUUGACAAAUCCGGUCUUUUAUACGCCUGCCGCACAUUCACACACCUCAAAUAUGAAUCCUUAAAUCCAUGUAAUCCAUGCACAUCGAUCAUACGAUACAAAUCAUCUGAAUUCAAUAGUUCAAAACAAAUACAACAAAGCAAAUAGUUAAGCAAUCCAGACAUGUCAGAAUGAAAUCAAUGUCCAAGCAUGACGGAUCAUUCGCUGGCUGGCCGGAUCACUUGCCAGACGCCAUCCAUGCAGCCUGCUCCUCCGCCAUCCUUGCCCCCCGAUCCGCAUGCUCCUCCUGCAUCCUUGCCUCAUGCUCCGCCUACAUCUUUGUCGCAUGCUCCGUUGCUGCUAUAGCCGCCCUCGCCGUCUCGUAGUCCCUACGCUCCUUGUUCUCUUUUUUCUUCCCCGCAAGCCACUUCUUCGCAUACUCAUCCAAGAGACUUUUGUCGCCAAUAUGAUCUUCAAAUCUGAUGUCGUGUGCGAUUUGCAACCUCUCCUUCUCAUGCUCUAUCUCUCAAAAUUUCUUGGCCUUCUCGAGCUCUCGUUUGAUUGCCGCCUCUUACUUCUCCAACUCAAUCUUCUCCAUCUUAAUUUCUAGCUUCUUCUCUGCCCUAUUUCAGUCCCAAUCCAACAUCUCCUUUUGCAUAUCCAACAUGAGCUUGUACCUAUCCUCUUCUUGUUCUCCCUCACCGAAAAAAUGCCCGUCCAUGUAGAGGACAAUUUUGUAGCCGCGGCAUCACGGGAGGCCCUUGCCUUCUCCCACUUGUUUCCCAUGACUUGCCGGUUAUCCUUUUGCACGAUGUCUCUUCCAUUCUCCACGACAACAUCUUUCUCUUCUUCAUCCAAUCCAAUUGAUUGGUGGGAAUUUGAGCCAUCAUUCCUCUUUUUGUCGACCUUGAGAUCGGCCAGAAGUUGUGUCCCCUUUGAUUUUUCAUUCAGUAUGAUUCAACAAUGGCUAAACGCAAAUGGCCGCUUCUCCAUUUCGUGAUACAUAGCGGUCGCCACUGCCAUCUAGCAAACAAAAUAUGUAUGAGCAUGAGAAUGCAAAAAAGCAAGCAUAGCAAAUGAUGACAAGAUGAAGUAGUGAUACGUCUCCAAUGUAUCUACUUUUCCUAACGCUUUUCCUCUUGUUUUGAACUCUAAUUUGCAUGAUUUGAAUGAAACUAACCCCAGACUGAUGCUGUUUUCAGCACAACUACCAUGGUGUUGUUGUUGUGCAGAAAUAAAAGUUCUCGGAAUGGAACGAAACUUUGCGAGGAUUUUUUAUAUUAAUAAAGAGAAUUUCUGGAACCAAGAUCCACCGGAGGGGGCACAUGGGUGGGAACAACCCACCAGGAGCCCCCUCCUGGCGCGCCCAGGUUGGUUGUCCCCACCUGGUGGCCCCGCAGACCCUGAAACCGAUGCUAUAAAAUCCUAUUUUUCUCGAAAAAAUCAGGGAGAAAGAAUUAUCGUGAUCCACGAGACAGAGCUGCCGUCACCUCCUGUUCUUCAUUGGGAGUCCAGAUCUGGAGUCCGUUUGGGGCUCCGGAGAGGGGGGUCUUCGUUCUUCGUCAUCACCAACCCUUCUCCAUCGCCAAUUCCAUAAUGCUCCCCACCGGGAGUGAGUAAUUCCUUUGUAGGCUCGCUGGUCGGUGAGGAGUUGGAUAAGAUUCAUCAUGUAAUCUAGUUAGUUUUGUUAGGGCUUGAUCCCUAGUAUUGAUGACCCACAAGUAUAGGGGAUCUAUCGUGGUCGUUUUGAUAAGUCAGAGUGUCGAACCCAACGAGGAGCAGAAGGAAAUGAUAAGCAGUUUUCAGUAAGGUAUUCUCUGCAAGCACUGAAAUUAUCGGUAACAGAUAGUUUUGUGAUAAGGUAAUUUGUAACGGGUAACAAGUAAUGAAAGUAAAUAAGGUGCAACAAGAUGGCCCAAUCCUUUUUGUAGUAAAGGACAAGCCUGAACAAACUCCUAUAUAAAGGAAAACGCUCCCGAGGACACAUGGGAAUUAUCGUCAAGCUAGUUUUCAUCACGUUCAUAUGGUUCGCGUUCGGUACUUUGGUAAUUUGAUAUGUGGGUAGACCGGUGCUUGGGUACUGUCCUUCCUUGGACAAGCAUCCCACUUAUGAUUAACCCCUAUUGCAAGCAUCCGCAACUACAAAAGAAGUAUUAAGGUAAACCUAACCAUAGUAUGAAACAUAUGGAUCCAAAUCAACCCCUUACGAAGCAACUCAUAAACUAGGGUUUAAGCUUCUAUCACUCUAGCAACCCAUCAUCUACUUAUUACUUCCCAAUGCCUUCCUCUAGGCCCAAAUAAUGGUGAAGUGUCAUGUAGUCAACGUUCACAUGACACCACUAGAGGAAAGACAACAUACAUCUCAUCAAAAUAUCGAACGAAUACCAAAUUCACAUGACUACUUAUAGCAAGACUUCUCCCAUGUCCCCAGGAACAAAUGUAACUACUCACAAAUCAUAUUCAUGUUCAUAAUCAGAGGGGUAUUAAUAUGCAUAAAGGAUCUGAACAUAUGAUCUUCCACCGAAUAAACCAACUAGCAUCAACUACAAGGAGUAACCAACACUACUAGCAACCCACAGGUACCAAUUUGAGGCUUUGGGACAAAGAUUGGAUACAAGAGAUGAACUAGGGUUUGAGAUGAGAUGGUGCUGGUGAAGAUGUUGAUGGAGAUUGACCCCCUCCCGAUGAGAGGAUCGAUGAUGAUGACGGUGGUGAUGAUUUCCCCCUCCCGGAGGGAAGUUUCCCCGGCAGAACAGCUCCGCCGGAGCCCUAGAUUGGUUCUGCCAAGGUUCCGCCUCGUGGCGGUGGAGUUUCGUCCCGUGAGUUAGCUUAUGAUUUUUUCCUCGAUGAAAGACUCCAUAUAGCCAAAGAUGGGCAUCAGAUGGCUGCCAAGGGGCCCACGAGGCAGGGGGCGCGCCCCCACCCUCAUGGACGGUGUGUGUCCCCCCUCUGGUACUUCUUUCGCCCAAUAUUUUUUAUAUAUUCUGAAACGUGCUCUCGUGAAGUUUCAGGACUUUUGGAGAUGUGAAGAAUAGAUCUCUAAUAUUUGCUCCUUUUCCAGCCCAGAAUUCCAGCUGCCGGCAUUCCCCCUCUUCAUGUAAAACCUUGUAAAAUAAGAGAGAAUAGGCAUAAGUAUUGUGACAUAAUUUGUAAUAACAGCCCAUAAUGCAAUAAAUAUCGAUAUAAAAGCAUGAUGCAAAAUGGACGUAUCAACUCCCCCAAGCUUAGACCUCGCUUGUCCUCAAGCGAAAGCCGAAAUCGAAAAAUAUGUCCACAUGUUUAGAGAUAGAGGUGUCGAUAAAAUACAAUACGGACAUGAGGGCAUCAUGAUCAUUCUUAGAACAACAACGCAUACAUAUAUUGGCAUAUGAUCUCUUAUGCUAAAGUAACAAUUCAAUCACAAUUUCAAGUAUGAAUCAGAAACUUCAUUGAGAACCAAUAACCUAUAAUCUCAAUCAUUGAAGCAAUUGCAAUUUAUCAUAACAUAUGAAAGAGUCAAUAUAAGAGCUUUUCAGCAAGUCCACAUACUCAACCAUUAUUUAGUCGUUCACAAUUGCUAACACUCACGCAAUAUUUAUGGGUAUGAAGUUUUAUUCGGACACAGAGAAAGAUAGGGGCUUAUAGUUUUGCCUCCCGACCUUUUACCUCAAGGGUAAUGUCAACAAUAAUAGUUCAUGAAAACUCACAUCCAAUUAGCUAUAUAUAUCUAUAUCUUUCCAACACAUUGUGCUUGCCAAAGGAUAAAAUGUAAAAAGGAAAGGUGAAGAUCACCAUGACUCUUGUAUGAAGUAUAAGACAAGAAUAAAAGGUAGGCCCUUCGCAGAGGGAAGCAGAGGUUGUCAUGUGCUUUUAUGGUUGGAUGCACAAAAUCUUAAUGCGAAAGAACGUCACUUUAUAUUGCCACUUGUGAUAUGGACCUUUAUUAUGCAAUCUGUCGCUUUUAUUCCUUCCACAUCACAAGAUCGUAUAAAGCUUAUUUUCUCCACACUAAUAAGUCAUACAUAUUUAGAGAGCAAUUUUUAUUGCUUGCAACCAUGACAACAUACUUGAAGGAUCUUCAUAACCCACAAGUAUAGGGGAUCGCAACAGUUUUCGAGGGUAAAGUAUUCAACCCAAAUUUAUUGAUUUGACACAAGGGGAGCCAAAGAAUACUCUCAAGUAUUAGCAGCUGAGUUGUCAAUUCAACCACACCUGGAAACUUAAUAUCUGCAGCAAAGUAUUUAGUAGCAAAGUAAUAUGAUAGUAGUGGUAGCGGUAGCAAAAGGUAACAGUAGUAAAAGUGAUGUUUUUGGUAUUUUGUAGUGAUGAUAGCAAUAGCAACGGGAAAGUAAAUAAGCGAAGAACAAUAUAUGGAAAGCCGUAGGCAAUGGAUCAGUGAUGGAGAAUUAUGCCGGAUGCGGUUCAUCAUGUAACAGUCAUAACCUAGGGUGACACAGAACUAGCUCCAGUUCAUCAAUGUAAUGUAGGCAUGUAUUCCGAAUAUAGUCAUACGUGCUUAUGGAAAAGAACUUGCAUGGAAUCUUUUGUCCUACCCUCCCGUGGCAGCGGGGUCCUUACGGAAACUAAGGGAUAUUAAGGCCUCCUUUUAAUAGAGUACCGGAACAAAGCAUUAACACAUAGUGAAUACAUGAACUCCUCAAACUAUGGUCAUCACCGGUAAGUAUCCCGAUUAUUGUCACUUCGGGGUUAAUGGAUCAUAACACAUAAUAGGUGACUAUAGACUUGCAAGAUAGGAUCAAGAACACUCAUAUAUUGAUGAAAACAUAAUAGGUUCAGAUCCGAAAUCAUGGCACUCGGGCCCUAGUGACAAGCAUUAAGCAUAGCAAAGUCAUAGCAACAUCAAUCUCAGAACAUAGUGGAUACUAGGGAUCAAACCCUAACAAAACUAACUCGAUUACAUGAUAGAUCUCAUCCAACCCAUCACCGUCCAGCAAGCCUACGAUGGAAUUACUCACGCACGGCGGUGAGCAUCAUGAAAUUGGUGAUGGAGGAUGGUUGAUGAUGACGAUGGCGGCGGAUUCCCCUCCCCGGAGCCCCGAAUGUACUCCGGAUCAGCCCUCCCGAGAGGUUUUAGGGCUUGGCGGCGGCUUUGUAUCGUAAAACGCGAUGAAUUCUUCUCUCUGAUUUUUUUCUCCCCGAAACACAAUAUAUAGAGUUGGAGUUGGAGUCGGAGGAGCUCCAGGGGGCCCACGAGGUAGGGGGCGCGCCCCCACCCACGUGGACAGGUGUUGGGCCCCCUGGCCUUCAUCUUUUGCAGGUAUUUUCUAUAUUUUCCAAAAGUUGCUCCAUGAAGUUUCAGGUCAUUCCGAGAAUGUUUGUUUCUGCACAUAAAUAACACCAUGGUAAUUCUGCUAAAAAUAGCGUCAGUCCGGGUUAGUUCCAUUCAAAUCAUGCAAGUUAGAGUCCAAAAUAAGGGCAUGAGUGUUUGGAAAAGUAGAUACGACGGAGACGUAUCAACUCCCCCAAGCUUGAACCUUUGCUUGUCCUCAAGAAAUUCAGUUGACAAACUGAAAGUGAUAAAGAAAAACUUUUACAAACUCUGUUUGCUCUUGUUGUUGUAAAUAUGUAAAGCCAGCAUUCAAGUUUUCAGCAAAGAUUAUGACUAACCACAUUCACAAUAACGCUUAGGUCUCAAGUUUACUCAUAUCAAUGGCAUAAUCAACUAGCGAGCAAUAAUAAUAAAUCUCGGAUGACAACACUUUCUCAAAACAAUCAUAAUAUGAUAUAACAAGAUGGUAUCUCGCUAGCCCUUUGUGAGACCGCAAAACAUAAAUGUAGAGCGCCUUUAAAGAUCAAGGACUGACUAGACAUUGUAAUUCAUGGUAAAAGAGAUCCAGUCAAGUCAUAGUCAAUGUAAACUAAUAAUAAUGAAUGAAAAUGACAGCGGUGCUCUCCAACUGGUGCUUUUUAAUAAGAGGAUGAUGACUCAGCAUAAAAGUAAAUAGACAGGCCCUUCAUAGAGGGAAGCCGGGAUUUGUAGAGGUGCCAGAGCUCGGUUUUGAAACAGAGGUGAAUAAUAUUUUGAGUGGUAUACUUUCAUUGUCAACAUAACAACCAAGAGAUGGCAAUAUCUUCCAUGCUACACACAUUAUAGGCGGUUCCCAAACAGAAUGGUAAAGUUUAUACUCCCCCUUCCACCAACAAGCAUCAAUCCAUGGCUUGCUCGAAACAACAAGUGCCUCCAACUAACAAGAGUCCCAGGGGGAGUUUUGUUUGCAAUUAUUUUGAUUUAGUUUGCAUAAAGCAUGGGACUGGGCAUCCCGGUGACCAGCCAUUUAUCUCGUGAGUGAGGAGCGGAGUCCACUCCUCUUGAGAAUAACCCGCCUAACAUGGAAGAUAUGGACAGCCCUAGUUGAUACAUGAGCUAUUCGAGCAUACAAAACAGGAUAUUUAUUUGAAGGUUUAGAGUUUGGCACAUACAAAUUUACUUGGAACGGCAGGUAAAUAUCAUAUAUAGGUAGGUAUAGUGGACUCAUGUGGAAUAACUUUGGGGUUUAAGAGAUUGGAUGCACAAGCAGUAUUCCUGCUUAGUACAGGUGAAGGCUAGCAAAAGACUGGGAAGCGACCAGCUAGAGAGCGACAACAGUCAUGAACAUGCAUUAAAAUUAAUCAACACCGAAUGCAAGCAUGAGUAGGAUAUAAUCCACCAUGAACAUAAAUAUCGUGAAGGCUAUGUUGAUUUUGUUUCAACUACAUGCGUGAAAAUGUGCCAAGUCAAGUCACUUAAAUCAUUCAGAGGAGGAUACCACCCUAUCAUACCACAUCAUAACCAUUUCAAUAGCAUGUUAGCACGCAAGGUAAACCAUUAUAACUCAUAGCUAAUCAAGCGUGGCACAAGAACUAUGAUCUCUAGUUGUCAUUGCAAACAUGUUUAUUCAUAAUAGGCCGAAUCAGGAUCGAUGAACUAAUCAUAUUUACAAAAACAAAAGAGGUCGAGUUCAUACCAGCCUUUCUCAUCUCAGUCGGUCCAUCAUAUAUCGUCAUAAUUGCCUUUCACUUGCACGACCGAAUGAUGUGAAUAAUAAUAAUAGUGCACGUGCAUUGGACUAAGCUGGAAUCUGCAAGCAUUCAAUAAACAGGAGAAGACAAGGCAAUAUGGGCUCUUUGUCAGAUCAACAAUAAUGCAUAUAAGAGGCACUUCAACAAUUUAAUCAUGGUCUUCUCCUAUCGACCCCCAAAGAAAAGAAAAGAAAUAAAACUAUUUACACGAGAGAGCUCCCAACAAGUAAAAGAAGAUCAGGAAAUCUUUUUGGGUUUUCUUUUUAAUUACUACUAUAGGCAUGGAAAGUAAACUAAUUAAAAGCUACAUCUAUUUUUUGUUUUUCUUAAGGUUUAUUAAACACACAAGAAGAAAGCAUAAAAAGGAAAUUAAACUAGCAUGGAUGAUACAAUGAAAAAGUAUGAGCACUGACAUCUAGCAAUAAGUGUGUGAACAUAAAUGUAAUGUCGGUGAGAAAUACGUACUCCCCCAAGCUUAGGCUUUUGGCCUAAGUUGGUCUAUGGCCAUGGCUGGCCUGACGAAUAUCCAUAAUAAUAGUUGGGGUCGUACUGCGAUGAAGAAGAAGAUUCCGAUUGCCACUGGCUGGCAAUCAUCUCCGGAUCCCACUGGUAAUUAGACUGUCAUGAAGGAUCAACUUGUGGUUCCGGCUUUGGCUCCAUGGCUGGUGUAGGGUUCUGGUAGGCAUGAAUAGCCUCUAACAGAACAAGGUACUGGCCUGCAGAUAAAUCAAACAAAGAAGGAGCAGGCAAGGUAAUAGUCUCAUGAUGAUGUUUAUCAAAGAAUAGUUUGUAUUUAAGCUCUCUUUCCCUGUUCUUAACAAUAAAAUCAUGUGCCACCAUACUUUUAUAAUCUAAAUAAAUACGAGGCAACACUUUUUCUUCCUUCUCAUAAUGCCUAAUAGGUAUGUUAAAAUGUGCAGCUAGGCGUGAAGCAUAGAUGCCUCCAAAGAUGGGGCCCUUGGUACGGUUCAGACUUAACCGUUUAGCGAUAAUGCCGCCCAUACUAACAGAGUUAUCACCAUAUAAAUCAUGGAGCAAAAUAAUAAUAUCAGGGACACUAAGGUUUCCACAGUUUCCUCGACCAAUUAAACAACGACUAGCAAAUAGUGCAAAAUAGCGUAAAACAGGAAAAUGUAUGCUAGUGAUUCGUGCAUCGGAAACCUUCCUUGUUUCCCCUACAGUGAUAGUAUCAAUAAACCCAUCCACGCAGACUAAGGCAUAGCCUAGUGGUGGGAAGGGGCUGAUGCCUUCCCACCCACCCAGGUUCAAGGCUUGGUAUUUGCAAUUUGGGUUUGUUGCACCAAUUAUGCUGUAGGGGGUUCCCUUACAGUCUUUCUAUCAAAAAAAACCCAUCCACAUCCUCGCGAUGUGGUUCCUCUAUCUUGCCCUCAAAAGGGACUAAACAAACCCGACAAAAAAUCAUAAAGUGACAUCUCCUUAUGCUCAUCAUAUAAAUGAAACUCCACCGUAGGUGGUGAGCUCCUAGAAUGCAAAUGAAAAUUUUGCACAAAGGUAUUUGUGAGUAAGAGAUACUGAACGCGUUGGUCGUGGAGGAAAGCGGUGAGGCCGACAUUCUUAGCCAAUUCAUAAAAAUCUUCAUAAAUCCCGACUGCUCUCAAGAAAUCAAGGCCAUUCACACGACCGAACCUCCGCGGUGCGAGGCAGAUUAUAUUUAGGCUUCGGUGCCUUUUCCUUUGAGCUUCGGCUCGAUGAGCCCCUCAAAAGUCUCUUCAUCAUUUUCUGAAAAAUUCUGAAAUUUUUUAGUGACUUCAAAAUAAAAGUAAACAAAACUCAAUAAUAUUGAUAGCAACUACUCCUACAAGUGCCUAGGGCCUAUAUCAUGCAUCAAAACUACUUUUGACCAUAUAAAUUUGACAUGCAAGCUCAAGAAUAGGGUCACCUAAGCAGAAAAAAUUUGCAAUGAAUAAAGUACUAGAACAAAAACUAAUUGGACCAAUGGAGGAGUCACAUACCAAGGAACAAUCUCCCCAAGCAGUUUUGUGAGAGGUGCUUUGAGCAAGGAGAUAAAAAAUGGCAGCAAAACGAGCUUGGACUCGGGUUUGAGCUGGUUAUUUGUGUUUGGGGGAGGAAUAAUGAGUGUGUGGGUGAAAGGAUAAGUGGAGGAGGGCCACCGUGGGCCCACGAGGCAGGGGGGCGCGCCCUCCACCCUCGUGGGCAGGUGGUUGACCCCCCUGCUGUGUUCUCAGUGCCAAAUAUUCUCAAAUAUUCUAGAAAAAAAUCAUAUUUAAAUUUCAGGGCAUUUGGAGAACUUUUAUUUUCGAGGUAUUUUUAUAUUGCAUGGAUAAUCAGAUAACAGACAGAAAAAUACUAUUUUUAUUUUAUUUAAUAUAAAUAACAGAAAGUAAAAGGAGGGUACAACAGGUUGUGCCUUCUAGUUUCAUCCAUCUCAUGAUCAUCAAAAGGAAUCCACUAACAAGGUUGAUCAAGUCUUGUUAACGAAGUCAUUCCGAAUAACAUGGAACCAGAGAAAUUUUGAAUAACACUAUGUUACCUUAACGGGGAUAUGCACAUCCCAAAUAACAAGAAUAUCAUAUUUCUUCUUGACAGUAGGAAGAGGAAAUUCAAAACCUCCAAAUAUAAUCGAUGGAAUUUUUCCAAUAGAGUUGAUACUACGAACUUGAGGUUGUUUCCUCGGAAAGUGUAUCGUAUGCUCAUUACCAUUAACAUGAAAAGUGAAAUUGCCUUUAGUGCAAUCAAUAACAGCCCCUGCAGUAUUCAAAAAGAGUCUUCCAAGAAUAAUAGACAUACUAUCGUCCUCGGGAAUAUCAAGAAUAACAAAAUCCAUUAAAAUAGUAACGUUUGCAACUACAACAGGCACAUCCUCACAAAUACCGACAUGUAUAGCAGUUGAUUUAUCAGCCAUUUGCAAAGAUAUUUCAGUAGGUGUCAACUUAUUCAAAUCAAGUCUACGAUAUAAAGAGAGAGGCAUAACACUAACACCGGCUCCAAGAUCACAUAAAGCAGUUUUAACAUAGUUUCUUUUAAUGGAGCAUGGUAUAGUGGGUACUCCUGGAUCUCCAAGUUUCUUUGGUAUUCCACCCUUAAAAGUAUAAUUAGCAAGCAUGGUGGAAAUUUCAGCUUCUGAUAUCUUUCUUUUAUUUGUAACAAUAUCUUUCAUAUACUUAACAUAAGGAUUCAUUUUGAGCAUAUUAGUUAAUCGCAUACACAAAAAGAUAGGUCUAAUCAUUUCAGCAAAGCGCUCAAAAUCCUCAUCAUCCUUUUUCUUGGAUGGUUUGGGAGGAAAAGGCAUGGGUUUCUGAACCCAUGGUUCUCUUUCUUUACCGUGUUUCCUAGCAACAAAGUCUUUCUUAUCAUAACGUUGAUUCUUUGAUUGUGGGUUAUCAAGAUCAACAGCAGGUUCAAUUGCUAUAUCAUUAUCAUUACUAGGUUGAGCAUCAUCAUGAACAUUAUUAUUAAUAUUAUCGCUAGUUUCAGGUUCAUUACCAGAUUGAGUUUUAGCAUCAGAAAUAGAAAUAUCAUUUGGAUUCUCAGGUGGUUCAAUAACAGGUUCACUAGAAGCAUGCAAAGUCCUAUCAUUUUUCUUUUUCUUCUUUUUAGAAGGACUAGGUGCAUCUAUAUUAUUUCUCUGAGAAUCUUGCUCAAUUCUCUUAGGGUGGCCUUCAGGAUACAAAGGUUCAUGGGUCAUUUUACCAGUUCUAGUAGCCACUCUAACAGCAUUAUCAUUAUUCUUACUAUUCAAUUCAUUGAGCAAAUCAUUUUGAGCUUUAAGUACUUGUUCUACUUGAGUGGUAACCAUAGAAGCAUGUUUACUAAUAAGUUUAAGUUCACCUUUGACAUUAGCCAUAUAAUCACCCAAGUGUUCAAGCAUAUUUGAAUUGUAUUUCAAUUGUCUACCAAAAUAAGCAUUAAAGUCUUCUUGCUUAGCCAUAAAUUUAUCGAACUCAUCUAAGCAUGGGCUAGCAAACUUAGUAAAUAGGAUUUCAGCUUUAUCAUAUCUAUAGAGAGAAUUUACCUUUACUACCUGUGUCGGGUUAUCAAGACCAUGAGUUUCUUCAAUAGGUAAGGGAUUAAGAUCAUAUGUUUCUUCAACAGGCGGUAAAUUAAGACCAUGUAUUUCUUCAAUAUGAGGUAAAUUCUUAACAUCUUCAGCUUUAAUACCUUUUUCUUUCAUAGAUUUCUUUGCCUCUUGCAUAUCUUUAGGACUGAGAAAUAGAAUACCCCUCUUCUUUGGAUUUGGUUUAGGAACAGGCUCAAGAAUUGGCUCCGGAGGUGUCCAAUUAUUUUCAUUUGUCAACAUAUUAUUCAAUAGAAUUUUAGCUUCAUCCGGUGUUCUUUCCCUGAAAACAGAACCAACACAACUAUCCAGGUAAUCUCUGGAGGCAUCGGUUAGUCCAUUAUAAAAGAUAUCAAGUAUUUCAUUUUUCUUAAGAGGGUGAUCAGGCAAAGCAUUAAGUAAUUGGAGAAGCCUCCCCCAAGCUUGUGGGAGACUCUCUUCUUCAAUUUGCACAAAAUUAUAUAUAUCCCUUAAAGCAGCUUGUUUCUUAUGAGCAAGGAAAUGUUUAGCAGAGAAGUAAUAAAUCAUAUCCUGGGGACUACGCACACAACCAGCAUCAAGAGAAUUAAACCAUAUCUUAGCAUCACUCUUUAAUGAAAACGAGAAUAUUUUAAGGAUAUAAAAGUAAUGAGUUCUCUCAUCAGUAGUGAACCGGGUGGCUAUAUCAUUCAAUUUAGUAAGAUGUGCCACAACAGUUUCAGAUUCAUAGCCAUGAAAAUGAUCAGAUUCAACCAAAGUAAUUAUAUCAGGAUCAACAGAGAAUUCAUAAUCAUUAUCGAUAACACAGAUAGGUGAAGUAGCAAAAGCAGGGUCAGGUUUCAUCCUAGCAUUUAGAGAUUGCUUAUUCCAUUUAGCUAAUAACCUCUUAAGUUCGUGUCUAUCCUUGCAAGCUAAAAUAGCUAAAGAAGCUUCUUUAUCAGAAACAUAACCCUCAGGAAUAACAGGCAAGUCUUCAUCAUCAAUUUCAUCAGUAUUAUCAGAUUCAACAUUUUCAAUCUCUCUAGCCCUAGCAAGUUGUUCAUCAAGAAAUUCACCAAGUGGCACGGUAAUAUCAAGCAUAGAAGUAGUUUCAACAUAAGUAUCAUGUAUAGCAGAAGUGACAUCAUCAAUAACAUGCGACAUAUUAGAACGAAUAGCAGAAGCAGGUUUAGGUGUCGCAAGCUUACUUAAAAUAGAAGGUGAAUCAAGUGCAGAGCUAGAUGGCAGUUCCUUACCUCCCCUCGUAGUUGAGGGAUAAAUCUUGGUUCUUAGAUCUUUCAAAUUCUUCAUAAUGAUAAGCUGAUAUAAAUCCCAAGUGACUCAAGGAAUAGAGCUAUGCUCCCCUACAAUGGCGCCAGAAAAUAGUCUUGAUAAUCCACAAGUAUAGGGGAUCGCAACAGUUUUCGAGGGUAAAGUAUUCAACCCAAAUUUAUUGAUUCGACACAAGGGGAGCCAAAGAGUACUCUCAAGUAUUAGCAGCUGAGUUGUCAAUUCAACCACACCUGGAAACUUAAUAUCUGCAGCAAAGUAUUUAGUAGCAAAGUAAUAUGAUAGUAGUGAUAGCGGUAGCAAAAGGUAACAGUAGUAAAAGUGAUGUUUUUGGUAUUUUGUAGUGAUGAUAGCAAUAGCAACGAGAAAGUAAAUAAGCGAAGAACAAUAUAUGGAAAGCUCGUAGGCAAUGGAUCAGUGAUGGAGAAUUAUGCCGGAUGCGGUUCAUCAUGUAACAGUCAUAACCUAGGGUGACACAGAACUAGCUCCAGUUCAUCAAUGUAAUGUAGGCAUGUAUUCCGAAUAUAGUCAUACGUGCUUAUGGAAAAGAACUUGCAUGACAUCUUUUGCCCGUGGCAGCGGGGUCCUUACGUAAACUAAGGGAUAUUAAGGCCUCCUUUUAAUAGAGUACCGGAACAAAGCAUUAACACAUAGUGAAUACAUGAACUCCUCAAACUACGGUCAUCACCGGUAAGUAUCCCGAUUAUUGUCACUUCGGGGUUAACGGAUCAUAACACAUAAUAGGUGACUAUAGACUUGCAAGAUAGGAUCAAGAACACUCAUAUAUUGAUGAAAACAUAAUAGGUUCAUAUCUAAAAUCAUGGCACUCGAGCCCUAGUGACAAGCAUUAAGCAUAGCAAAGUCAUAGCAACAUCAAUCUCAGAACAUAGUGGAUACUAGGGAUCAAACCCUAACAAAACUAACUCGAUUACAUGAUAGAUCUCAUCCAACCCAUCACCGUCCAGCAAGCCUACGAUGGAAUUACUCACGCACGGCGGUGAGCAUCAUGAAAUUGGUGAUGGAGGAUGGUUGAUGAUGACGAUGGCGACGGAUUCCCCUCUCCGAAGCCCCGAACGGACUCCAGAUCAGCCCUCCCGAGAGGUUUUAGGGCUUGGCGGCGGCUUUGUAUCGUAAAACGCGAUGAAUUCUUCUCUCUGAUUUUUUUCUCCCCGAAACACAAUAUAUAGAGUUGGAUUUGGAGUUGGAGGAGCUCCAGGGGGCCCAUGAGGUAGGGGGCGCGCCCCCACCCUCGUGGACAGGUGGUGGGCCCCUGGCCUUCAUCUUUUGCAGGUAUUUUUUAUAUUUUCCAAAAAGUUGCUCCGUGAAGUUUCAGGUCAUUCCGAGAACGUUUGUUUCUGCACAUAAAUAACACCAUGGUAAUUCUGCUGAAAACAGCGUCAGUCCGGGUUAGUUCCAUUCAAAUCAUGCAAGUUAGAGUCCAAAAUAAGGGCAAAAGUGUUUGGAAAAGUAGAUACGACGAAGACGUAUCAGAUCUUACUCAAUCCAUUGGUAGAUAUGGUGGACUCUCAUGGAAAAACUGGGUUUAAGGAUAUUUGGAAGCACAAGUAGUAUCUCUACUUGUUGCAAAGAAUUUGGCUAGCAUGAGAGGGAAAGGCAAGCUUAACAUGUUGGAUGAUCCAUGAAAAUAUAAUUUAUCUCAUAUGUAAGAAAACAUAACUCAUUACGUUGUCUUCCUUGUCCAACAUCAACUCUUUAGCAUGUCAUAUUUUAAUAAGUGCUCACAAUCAUAAAAGAUGUCCAAGAUAGUAUAUUUAUAUGUGAAAACUUCUCUUUCUUUAUUACUUCCUAUUAAUUGCAACAAUGACCAAAACUAUGCUUGUCAACUCUCAACAAUUUUUAUUCAUCAUACUCUUUAUAUGUUAAGUCAUUAAUCUCCAUAAGGUCCAUAUGAUCUCUUUAUUUCUUUUUAUAUUUUCUUUUAUUCCUUCAAGAUCAUAUAAAGAUAACCAAGCCCUUGACUCAACACUAAUCUUUAUUAUAUAUAGCUCACAGACUCGAUUACAUAGAAGGAUCAUAAAGUAAAACUCAAAACUAGAUCAUACUAAAAUUGUAUUCUACUAGAUCAAGAUAUUACCAAAAGGAUCGAACUAAGAAAAACGGUAAAGAUAAAAGUGUGAUGGCGAUACGAUACCAGGGCACUCCCCCAAGCUUGGCAGUUGCCAAGCGAAGUGUGCAUACCCGAUACUUAGUUCUUCUUUGUUGGUGAAGAAGGUGUUGGUGAUGAUGGAUAGUCGCACAUCGAGCGUAGGAGGUCCUCCAAUUUGCAGAUAAUGCCCUUGAGUGUGAUGAUAUGCCCCUUCAACAAAAUAUUUUCACUCGUGAGAUACUUGUUUUGAAUGCGAGCUAACUCAAUCUUCUUGAAAGCUUCAAUCUCCGUUGGGGUAAAGAGAUUAUGAUGAGGUUGAAGGAUGUCUUCUUCUACUACUGCCGGAACUUGAUCGCCCACGGCCUUCUUGAUCCCAUCAUCCUUGUUGAUCUCUUCGAGCUCUUCUCUCUUCAGCUCUAUCUUCAUUAGCCAAGCAUCGUUGCCCUCAUUGUUGGAGGAGGAGGGAGACAACAUGAUGCCUGGCCUUGACAACCCUGGCAGAAAACAGCUCGAAACAGAAACAAGAGAUUUUUGCGUGGUAUGGUGGUCAAAACCUUCGGGAGAUUAUAUAAUGAAUUUUUACCAGCCAAAAGAAGUAUCGUGCAAGAAAACAGAGUCCGGAGAGCGCACGAGGUGCCCACGAGGCAGGGGCGCGCCCAGGGGGGUAGGGCAUGCCCUCCACCCUCGUAGACGCCCCGUGUCCUUCCCGGACUGGUUCUUAUUUUCCUAUUUUCUUCAAUAUUCCAAAACAGAGAAAAAUGCUAUUAGAAAUGUUUUGGAGUCGGUUUACUUACUGUGCCACAUACCUAUUCCUUUUUGGAAUCUGAAACGUUGUGGAAAGUGUCCCUUAUGUAUUCCUCCGGGGUUACGGUUUCAAUAACAUUAGUUUUAACAUUUAUGGGAUUACCUGAGAUAUAAUGUUUGAUUCUUUGACCGUUCACGACCCUUGGAUUUGUGCCUUCGAAGUUGUUGAUUUUUAUAGCACCGGAACGAUAGACCUCCUCAAUGACGUAAGGACCUUCCCAUUUAGAGAGGAGUUUUCCUGCAAAAAAUCUUAAACGAGAGUUGUAUAACAAUACAUAAUCACCUACAUUAAACUCACGUUUUUGUAUCCUUUUGUCAUGCCAUCUUUUAACUUUUUCUUUAAACAGUUUGGCAUUCUCAUAGGCCUGGGUUCUCCAUUCAUCAAGUGAGCUAAUGUCAAAAGGCCUCUUCUCACCGGCAAGUUUGAAGUCAUAGUUGAGCUCUUUAAUGGCCCAAUAUGCCUUAUGUUCUAGUUCAAGAGGUAAGUGACAUGCUUUUCCAUAAACCAUCUUAUACGGAGACAUACCCAUAGGAUUCUUAUAUGCAGUUCUAUAGGCCCAUAAUGCAUCAUCAAGUUUCUUGGACCAAUUCUUCCUAGAUCUAUUAACAAUCUUUUGCAAAAUUAAUUUAAGCUCUCUAUUACUCAAUUCUACUUGACCACUAGACUGUGGAUGAUAUGGAGAUGCAAUUCUAUGAUUAACAUCAUACUUAGCAAGCAUCUUAUGAAAAGCACCAUGAAUAAAAUGUGAACCACUAUCAGUCAUUAAAUAUCUAGGGACUCCAAACCUUGGAAAAAUAACUUCUUUAAGCAUCUUAAUAGAUGUGUUAUGAUCAACAUUACUAGUUAGACUAGCUUCUACCCACUUAGUAACGUAAUCAACAUCAACUAAAAUAUGUGUAUACCCAUUAGAGGAAGGAAACGGUCCCAUAUAGUCAAAGCCCCAAACAUCAAAUGGCUCAAUAACAAGUGAAUAAUUCAUAGGCAUUUCUUGACGUCUACUAAUAUUACCAAUUCUUUGACAUUCAUCACAAGACAAGACAAAAUUACGGGCAUCCUUGAAGAGAGUAGGCCAAUAAAAACCGGAUUGCAAUACCCUAUGUGCAGUUCUGUCUCCAGCAUGGUGUCAGGACCGGAUUUUCGGGAUAUUAAUUUUCCCAAAAGCGGCCCUUGUGCUCACCAGCCCCAGGAUUACUGUUAGCUAAUGAGACACCAACUUGUUACAGAAACUCCAAGCAAAACACAAAAUAUGAAGUACAAGACCAUUCUGGCCUAUGGGUACAACAAUUUGUUUCUAGAGGUUGAUGGCGGAAGCGGUUUGCUGAUCAUCAGCGUCUAUGGGACUCCAUUUCCCACAGGAACAGCUGACCAGGAUAACUCCUAUCUUUGCGAGGCUGCUAUCACCAUUACGUAGGUUCCGGGGCUGUCAUCGCAACGCUCUUCUCCAUGCAAGAAAUAUGGCCAAGACAAUAGCCAGGGACAAGCCAGUGAGUACUUUGAAUGUACUCGCAAACAUUAAGAACAAAGGUAUAAUAUAGCCACUGAUAAUCAUGCUUUAAAAUAUUCAAUGAUCACUUCGUCAGUUAUGAAAUAAGGUUCAUGAUGCACGCAAGUAAAUCAUUUAAAUAAAUCAUGAGUAAAACAAUCAGGGUGUAGAAAUAUAGAGCACCGAUCGGGUGUCUGAAGCGACGCCUCGAAAGGAUAAUAAUAUGAAGCAUGCCUCAGUCGGGCGUCUGAGCGACACCACAGAAAGGGCUUAUAUAUAAAAGGAAUAACAAGCAUGCCACAAUCGGGCGUCGGUGCGACACCACAUAAAGGGCUUAUAAGUAAAUGAAAUAACGGACAUGCCACAGUCGGGCGUCUGGGCGACACCACAUAAAGGGCUUAUAUAAGAAUAAUCACAGUGAAUAUCCAGGAGGUAGAACCAUCCCAGAGAUACUCAAUAAUUCAAAUAACAUAAAUGAUUAGUCCAUAAAAAUAAUAAUCAUAAUCAUCAUAUGUCACAAGUUAUGAUCCAUAUUCUGGUUUAGUAGUUUCUCCUCCGAAGACCAACACUAAGACCGACGCUUGACCCAUCCUAGACUGUAGUCCUUAACCAUGGACACGGCUAUUCGAAUAGGUUCAAUAUCUCUGCAGAGGGUGUACUCUUUACCCACGAGUAACGGAUUUCUUUAGUCCAUCGGAACUAAUUCCGUCUACAGUCUUUUAGUCGAAAACACGCCUGACUUGCACACACCAGCUUAACUUUACUCGUGUCUGGAAUCACCCAGACACCUGUUAAGCAAAACUCUAAGUGGGGAGGCUACAACCUCGCGUAGCAUGGGAUCAAAUUUUUAUCGCGCGCUCUAAGGGGUGGCCUCCCCUCUUGGUCCCAACCGGAAACACCCAUGCCCCCGGACCAGGUGGCAUGCCUACCAGCUACAACCGGUAUCUUCCACCAUGGCCUCUCUGUAUGGUGUGUGCUAGGACAGGGGUUGACAACUUACUGAACCGUACCCUACCAACGGCAGGGGCAAGUGGCAGCACGAAACAAUUAUGGGGGUUACUGGAACAAGACUCGAUCUACAGCCGACUCAGGAGGCUUACGUGUUUCCUGCAUGGUUAGCUCAAGAAUUAUAUUUCACAGCCAUCAGACAUAACCACCACUUAUCAUACCCCCCCCUACCCUACCGGUCAUAAUCGUCUCGACGAGGGACAAGCUCGUGUCUACACAAGACAGAGACUUUCCCCGGUCCUUCCCGGUAGACAUGAGAGGCAUAUGAGGGUGAUUGCUAUCACAAGUAUGUCCAUUUCCAACAGCAAGAAUUUUCAUUUAUGCACUCAAGGUGUAUGAUCAUAUCAUCAUAUAAAAAUAAUCAACGCUUCAUGUCGAGGUGGUGUUAUAACCGUAUCGAACAACCCACAAAACAUUAUGCCAGGGUUCAGAAUGCUUGCCUUUAAGUUGUGGAGAGGCAGGGUGCAUUCCAACAUCUUGAAAGUUUUCUUCUCUCUCCAACAAAUCCUAUUUUUGGAAAUAUUUAAAUUAUCACCUAAUUUAAAAAUAGUACAAAAAUGUUUCUUGGAAAAUUUUGAAAUAAAUAUUAAAAUAAACUAGACAAUAUUUGAGGAACAACAGAAAAAGAAUAAAGUCAUUUGGAUUUAUAUUUUAAAAGUUAUAGCCAGUCAAAGUUUAGUCAAAAUCUGUUUUUAAAAUAAAACAGAAAAAAGAAAAACGCUUCGAUGAGAAUACGCUUUCGAGUAGAGGAGACGUACUCUGGGGUGAUGCGCUUUCACUUAAACACGUGGACCGGUGCGGGGUCACUGACAGUGGGUCCACGGGGCCCACUGGUCAGGUUUGACCGGUCUCCUUUCCCUCCUCUUCCUCUGCCUGAGAGGGGGCGGGACUCCGGUGAUCGUCGCCGGUGAUUGGCGUCUCCUCGUGGGGCCCCGAGGGCGGGGAUGGAUCCGCCACUCCAGGACGGUCCUCCCGGUGGUCGCCAGGCCGGAGGGGACGGAGGGAGCUACCGGUGGCGAGCUCCUCGGCGGAGGUGGCCUCGGGAGCUUUUGGGGGCCGGGGCUAUGGUGGUUCUCGAGCUGGAUUGAGGUGUUGGGCAGCUCCGCGGGAUCACGGGGAUUCGAAUGGUGGCACUAGUUUGACGGGAGGGGCUCGGGUUGUGACCGAAUGGAUUGGAGGGCGGCGGCGGCUGAUCCUACCGGAGCUGGGGAAGAUGACCUCUUCUCUUC